rnacentral:lncRNA from 1 species
AAAAAUUUAUGCUUAAUUUUGUUAGGUAAAAAAAAAAAAAAAAAAAAGUUGAACUACGUUAUGACUUGAUCCCUAUAUUAUAAAGGGUACGUAGGCAGCUUAAGGAAAACCUUAAGCCCAGUCCAGCAAAAAAAAAGUUGAACUACGUUAUGACUUGAUCCCUAUAUUAUAAAGGGUACGUAGGCAGCUUAAGGAAAACCUUAAGCCCAGUCCAGCAAAAAAAGUUGAACUACGUUACGACUUGAUCCCUAUAUUAUAAAGGGUAUGUAGGCAGCUUAAAGGAAACUUUAAGUUCAGUCCAGUAAAAAAAAGGAAGAAAGACAAAUUACAUUUAAUAGAAAAUAUGAUGAGGAGUGGAACAAUGAAAGAAUAAAUUUUUUUUAUUUAUUAUAAACUUCUAGCAAAAAAAAAAAUUAAAAAGGCAUAAGUAGAUAAAUAAGAGAAAGCAGAGAAUCAUGGAGUCCAUUUAAAGUUCUUCAGCUCCUCUAGUGUGCUUUCUAAAGAUUCACGAAGUGUUGAUAGCAUUUUAGCAUCAAUAUCUCCAACGAUCGGGGCACAUUCGAGUUUGUCAAUUUCCUCACAAGUCUUCGAAAUCUCAUGUUGCUUCUGCUUCAGCUCCAGGUCGUUCUUAAAAAUUAUUCCAGAAAGUUUAGCAGACUCAGCCCGCACCAUCUUUAGUUUUGCCUCUAGUUUAGCCUCCUUGGCGGACAGUCGUGUAAGACGACGUUUAGCAGUGUUGGUCUCUGCCAAUAUACGAUUCUCAUCAACUCGCAGAGUCUUCACAAAACCUUUUGCCUCCGUUAGCUGAACAUCCUUAGUUGAUUGGAGUAGAAAUGAGGAAUGUAUUUGAUUAUGGUUCUCGACACCUUGGAAGUAACCAUUCACAAGCUCCCUCAAAACAAUAAGGUUGUCGCUGCCGCUAGUCGCAAUCGCAUCAAAGAUCUUAUGCAUUUCUGGUUCAAGACUACUCAGUCGUUCAAAAGGGGUACGAAUGAUCUUCUGUCGUAGGUUUUCCCAUAAGGUUAUGGCAGCCUGUCGUCGGAGGUCAGAAAUUAAGCUGUCAGCACAAAAAUGAGAAAUCUCAGAAACUGUAAUAGGCUCCGUGCCUUCCACUUUUUGAGGAGGUCCCUUGAUCACAGGAGGACAAGCAGACACAAUAUUUGCGCCUAUAGGUUCCUUAGAGUUCCCAUUAUAAGAAAGUACAACGUUACAGUCUUCUAGAUUCGGCAUCGACUCUAGGGUAUCUUCGAUGUGUAGGUCGUGAUCACCUAAAGAAGACUGCAAAAUAAUAUUAACAACAAGAAAUAAGAGAGUAAAGGAGAGAAAAUACAAUAAAUAAAUAAAUAAAAAGGGAGACGAAAAGAAACCAUGGGGGAAGGGACAUCGAAGAAUUGUGCAGCAUCAGGGACCCGAAUAGGAGACUCUUCAUCAUCGAUCGACUGUUUGUUGGCUUCUUGGUCUCUUCCAAUGGCGAUCAUCAUGCUGCUUUGACUGUCCUCAAUACGUUUAGAAGGAUGCUUGGUAGCUAUGAUAAGCUGGUUGUCCUUACCCACAUUGUCAAUACACCUUUAAUAAGAUGUUUAAAUCGUGUUAGAAAAGAGACAAUUAUCCACCAAGCGUUUUGUCCCUCCCUCAAUUUUCUCCACAAGUCGUUCAUCAGUUUCAUCGAGCAUAUCUUCUGAUUUCCACUACCAAAAUUAUGUUCAAUCUUUUUUGUGGUUUUGGAUUUGAUGUGAGGGGGAGUAGGACGAUCUAUCAAAUGUUGUACUCCUUCUUGGAGGUAAUCACCGUGUUUUUGCAAGCCACCGACCUUAUAAUGAGAGGUAACAUGUGUGUCUGGAUUAGGGGCGACACAGGAAGAUAUACUUGGGAAAGUGUAUUCUCGCGAAUACAAAUCAUCCAACAAUAUCGUACGUUAAAAAAAUUGGCUCGGGAAUUUCUUCACCUAAGUCAUAUGCACGUCUUGAUAAAAUCCAAAUUGUCGGCUAAAGCGACAAGGACUAUAAGGCUCAAUGUGGAGGAUCCACAUUGCGAGGAUAGAAAACAAGAGCGAAUGCUUAUGAAAAAUGAAGCAUUCCAACUAAUUAACUCUCCAUCAUCCGUUAAGAGUUCGUCCUUAUUCUUUGUUGGAAGACACGCAUGCCAUGACACAUACUUUUCCCUUGUGGAUAUGUGUUCGAGCCUCAAGAUUAGUAUAAUAUUUGGCCCCACCUUCACCAGAAAAUUCAACCAUGCGAGGACCCCUAAGACUCCUAGGGCUUUAUAAUGAGUGUUGAAGUAAAGAGCAAGCCACCCAUGGACAUAGUGAAGAGGAAAACAGGCAUUUGAAUAACCAAGUGAUGAAGUAGAAUCAUGAACUUGGCGUAGGCCACUAUAAUAUUAGCUAAAACAGGGACAACAAGGCUAAAUGUGUAGCCUUCCGCAUGAGGCUAGCAACCUUAAAAACCUCUGACGAAGGGAAAGUUGCUUAUCAGGGAACACAAAACACAUAGCCAACAAGAGAGAAUGCCGCUAGAUAGGUUUUGUCCCUAUGAUCAUCACGUGACGCUUAAGUCAAGGAACACUUUGAGUUCAGCUUUAGACCAGUCAGGACGUCUGAUGGGAAUUCCAUCUGGAUUAUGAGUUGAGCGAGGGCGAGAAGUCUUUUUAGGCUUUCGAGGAGCGGUUUCAAUACUUUACCUCAGAUCGUGUAACCCAAAAAGAGAUCCAUUCACUUACAGUGAUUUGAGAGUGAUCCAUGCGUUGAGAAAAGCUAAUAGGCUAAAAUAAAUGCUCACAACUUCUUGGACAUACAUCAGGUGAUCCUAUUAAGUCUUUGGCAAGGAAUGCUUUCUUCAUAAAAUCUACCUUUAAUCGGGAGUCCUCCUAGUAUCCAUAAGUCCAUAAGGAGAUGGACAUCUCACCAGCUGAGGUGUGAAGAGUGUUUGUUGAAGGACACCAUGCCUCGCAGAAAGCCCGAUCAAUGUCACUGUUGCGAUCAUAUGUAUAUAGGGAAGCCAUCACAGCAUUAAAUAGGGAGGCUCGCUUGAGUACUGCCGUAUUUCUAGCAACAACGAGCUCUAACCACUCCCAAUAAUGAGGAAGAUUGUAAAAUUCUCCAUGUACCUUGAGCACAUUUCCCCAACGAAUUUUUGGGUCGUUUAUAAUUCGACGACCCAACGUUGAUUCUGGAUCCUCAUUUGGAGGCUUGUUGUGAAUCGAAGACUCCAGAAACCAAGAUUUUAAAGAUGAAUUGGGAUUUACAAACCGUUCCUUGGACCAUUUAGGCAAAAAGAUAAAAUUGUCCUCGGGUAUUUGGGAGUCCAUAUAUUCUCAUAUGUCCCCUCUCUCACAGGAAGAAUGAUCCCUUCCUCUAAAGAUUGAUCUACGUCUUUCAGGAUAAUUAAACACCUUUUGGUCAGUCAGAAUACUCAGUGAAGUGCACCAUGAUGAAAAGUAGAGUUCCUGCAAAUAUAAUAAUAAUAAUAAUAAGAAUAGAAAAAAACCAAAACAAAAAAAAACAAAAGAAAAGAAAAAAAAGAAAGAAAGAAGAAAAAAAAGGGGGGGGGGGAAGAAAAAAAUGAAGAUUGAAGCCCGACGAUGACAAGAAUCGAUCUCUCCUACUAGGGCGAUAGAUCUGACGGCAAAAGCCGAUCGUCCCUAGAAGAAGCUCAACAAAGUCAUUUGCAAACGAAGAUCGAAGCCCGACGAUGACAGAGUCGAUCUCUCCUACUAGGGCGAUAGAUCUGACGGCAAAAGCCCGAUCGUCCCUAGAAGAAGCUCAACAAAGUCAUUUCUGCAAACGAAGAUCGAAGCCCGACGAUGACAGAGUCGAUCUCUCCUACUAGGGCGAUAGAUCUGACGGCAAAAGCCCGAUCGUCCCUAGAAGAAGCUCAACAAAGUCAUUUCUGCAAACGAAGAUCGAAGCCGACGAUGACAGAGUCGAUCUCUCCUACUAGGGCGAUAGAUCUGACGACAAAAGCCGAUCGUCCCUAGAAGAAGCUCAAAAGUCAUUCCUGCAAAAAAAAAAAAAAAAAAACAAAAAAAACAAAACAACACAAAAAAAACAAAACAAAACAAAACAGAAUUAAAAAAAGCAAAACAAAAAAAAAACACACACACAAAAAAAGAGAAAAAAGAGAAAGGGAGAAGAAAAGUUUUCUAUACCUUUCUGCUGAUUGGAUGAGGUAUAAGUGAGUAGGGUGUGAGUCUAUUUAUAAGUCCAACAAAUCCAAUUUUUAAAAGGAUUAGGAAUGAUAUUUAAUUAUUUUUUUUAAAAAAAAAACAAAUCCAAUUCCUAAAAGGAAUAGGAUUGAUUUUAAAUAUAUAUAUAUAUAUAUAAAGAAAAGAUAAUCCAAUUAUCUUAUUUUAUUUUAAAUUAUUUCUUUUUUUUUUGUUGGAUAAAUCUCAAGUUUAACUUUUAUUGAGAUAUUUAAAAUAUUUAAAAAUUUCAACAUUUAAAAAUAUAUAUAUAUAGAUAAAUAUUCUCAAUUUCAAAAUUCAAGUUAAAUUAACUUGCAUAUAUGACCUCAUUUUUAUCAUGAAUUUAAAUCGGAGCAUAAAUCCAACUUUACCUAAGAUUGAGGACCUGAUUUUUUAUCUCAAAUUAAAAUUGGUCAUUCCAAAUUCUUAUGCAUCCCCAAGAUAAAUUAAGGUACGGUAGAAACUUUAUCCUUAUUUCAAAAUUAAAAUUUUGGUUAUAUUCCAAAUUUUACUUAAAAAAAAUCAUCAUAUUAAAAAUUUUUUUUAUCCUCAAAUAAAAUUAAGUUAGGAAUAAAACUUUGAAUUUUUUUAAGGUUUGGCCAUAUUCCAACCCUUAUUUUAAAUUGAAAUCAAACUCACGUACUAAAUUCAAGUUUGAUUAAUUUGAUAUAUUGAAUUGAGUAAAAAAAAAAAAAAAAAAGAAGCUCGUACUUUGACUUCAAAUUUAUCUUUUCGAGAUUCAUUCACCCAUAUACGUGCAUAAAUCUCGAAAAGGGGGCAUUUGUUGAAUAAGAAAUUUUGAGACUAAUCACUAGUUGCCAUAUCAUUUAUUAAGUUAAUGAUGAAAAGUACAAAUAAUUAAAUUUGGGACUAAUUAAAAUUGACAUAUGCUCCAAAUUAAAGAGUUGAAAAUAAAUAAAAUGGUCAUUCUAAUAAUGCCACAUGUUUUCAUAUUAAUAGUUGGAUUAAGUUAAUCAUUUUAGUUCAAUUAAAUAUUAUUUACUUGGACUAAGUUCAAUUAAGCCCAAAAAAUAAGCUUAAUUGAACCCAAAGACUAAAUAUAACCUAAGUCCAUAUGGUUGAGCCCAUGGGUCUGGUCCAUGGACCAACCAGGUUCAAACCCAUAAAGCCCACCAGUGAAAUCUAUAAAUAGAGGAAUUCUCCUCAUUUGUAGGGGUUGGAAAUUUUGACUCUAGAAGAUCCAGAGAGAAUUCUUCAAAGAGCUAGAAGACUCCCUAACUCCUGAAGUCGACCAUCCUCGAAGAUUGAAGCUUCUUUAAAGAUACAAGCUUUCUUCAAGGCUUCAACUUCAAGAACAUCACGUGCUUCGCUUCCUCAAAUCAAGCUGAAGCAUCCAGUUGAGAGAGAAUCAGAGGAUCAAAUUCUAGAGAUUGAACCGCAUCGCAUCAAAUCAACAAAAUACAACAUCAAACUCAAGUUCAAGUCCACGAAUUAAAUUCUCCGAAAAUCUCGUGCGAACACAUAUAUUUCUAAAUAAAUUUAUUCGACGAAAGUGGCUAGAUUGGUGGGUUCGACGGCGAAGGCUUGUUGUGGCAGCAACGACAACAGUGGUUGGAGUGUGGAAUCGACGACGACAAGUGGCAAAAAAUUGGAAGGCAAGGGUUCUUCAUAACGACUCGGUAGCCCACUUCGUUCGACGAGAUUUUUUUGCAUUUUUGGUAGAGUGAGAAAAAAUUGCAUUAAGACUUCAUUCGACGACAUCGUUUUUGCUUAAGAGAAAAUUUGAUGUUUUUACUUAGUUGUAAUUGCGUGAGAGAGGGAAAUUAAAAAAUUUUGAAAUUUGAGGUUUUUUCAUUUGAAAUUUUUUUUAAUGACAAAAAAAUUGUCGUUAAUUAAUGACCCAAAAAUUGUGUGAAAUAAAUUAAAUUGUGUCAAUAGAAUUGUUUUAAGAAAUAAUCCAUAUUUUUAUUUUCAACAACACAUGUACCUCAUCCACCUCUUUUUUCUUUUAUUUUCAACGACACAAUGUCUUGAUUAAAAUCCAUUUUUCUAGUGACAAAUGUAUCCAUACCAAAGUGGGAAGCAGCUAAGGGGACGAAGGUAUAUUCGGAGAGAGAUUGUUAAACAAUUGUAAAAAGUAAGCCCAAGAAGAGAGGUCCAAUAAAAUUCAGCCACCUCUCACAUAGUAAUUGAAAUAGUCUAGCAAUUUCAACCAUUUCCCUCACAGAGAAGAAGAAGACCAUAGCCACUCGAGGCUUUUGCACAUACAAACACCAAGAAGAUGGUGUCCGGUUCCGUACCUGUGCUAAGCGCGUCGUUGUUGACAUAAAGUUUCUAUAUACAAAGCUAUGUAUCUCUACCCUUGACUUCUCUUUCUCUCUUUCUACCUUUUUUAUCCUUUCUUUCUCCCAUUCACUCAAUACACUUGCAAGAACCUUCAUUUUUUUUGUAUUUAAAUUUUCUUGGCACCAUCCUUUUUUAAUUAUCAAGGCUUUGUUAUUGUGUACCUGUAUUGUGUCGUGCCUCCUUCACUUCUCAUCAUCAUUUUCAUGUCACAUCUCUACCUUGUCAAUUUUCGUUUUUCACUCAGCUUUCUUUCUUCAUUUGUCUUCACUACUCUCUUCGCUCCUUCUUCUCAAGCUCUAACUUUUGCUAUUAUUAACCAGUCUCAAAUGACCAUUGGAAAACCUAUAGCCCACUGAGAGGCAGCCAAUAUAGUAAUGCCUCUAAUGAUAAACUCCAAUGAAAUCAAAAGUUCUUCUUUGAGAUUUGGAAAAAUAUAUUAGAUAAAGCAUAAUUAGUUGAAAAAGAACCUUAAAAUUUUGUGUUAAACGACUACAAUUUCAUCGUAGAAUAUGCCAUAUUGACAGCAUAUUUUUCCUACAAAAACAUAUUAACUAAAAUAAGCUCAUAAACACGAAAAUGCACUAAGUGUUGGUUAACAUACACUACCUUGAAAUAUGAUGAAGACUUUAUUUCUCCCAACCAGACAGCAUAAUCAGGAGGUAGUUUGGGAGCAAACAGAAUUGACUUAAUUUCCACUAGCAAUAUCCUAUAAAAAUUUCAAAUUCUUGAAAUAUGGAAACCAAUGGAAGUUUUAGGGAAUGAAGUAUAACCUCUAAAUACAGAAGGACGACAUAAAGGGGAAUGAAGACUCGAAAGAAGGACGACGUUUUCGUAGAGAAGGACGACAAUUUUGAGGGACAACGGACACGAUUUCAGAGUAUUAGGGAUGGUAGAUGGCGAAAGUCUUAGGGAUCUCGUACUCAGUGGAUGGUGAACGACUGAAAGCGAAGGACCUAGUACGCAUUUUUGGAGAGGGCGUGUGAACGCGGAUGGACGGACGGUGAACACGGCAGAAGUGAGAGAUCCUCAUAGAGAACUUGGCAUUUUCGAAUGCGGUAGAGACAAGUCUAGGGCUUCGAAGGAUUCAACCCAAUAUUUUCUUUAUAUAUAUAUAUAUAUAUAUAAUAUAUAUUUAAUAACACUUGACGUUUUUAAAACGUAAAGAAAAACGAUUUUACUUGACGUCUAAAAAACAUCAAGAAAUUUAAAAAAUAACUCUUCUCCGGCUUUUUAUAAAAAUUCUUGACGUUUUAAAACAUAAAGAAUUUUUAAGAUAUUUCUUGACGUUUUUAAAAUGUCAAGUAAAAGUACAUAUUACUUGACGUUUGAAAAUUUUGAAGAAUGUUGAAUAUAUAAACAUUCUUGACGUUUUUAAAACGUCAAGAAAAAAUACAUAUUAGUUGAUGUUUAAUAAACGUCAAGAAAUCUGAAAAUUGACCUACCCUCGCCUUUUCUAAAAAUUCUUGACGUUUUAUCUUUGGAACUACCCCUUUCUUGACGUUUUUUGAAAAAAAAUGUCAAGAAAGAAAAACAACAAACGUCAAGAAAGGCCUUUUUUGUAGUAAUGACAUACAAUAUAUAUAUAUACAUAAAUAAAUAAAUAAAUAUAUAUAUAUAUAUAAUGAAUUAAAAUGGUUUUGUUGCUUUACUGUUUUACUCUAUAAAGGAAGAGCAUUAUAAAUAUAUUAUUGAGGAAACAUCUUUCGAAAUGACUGGUUUUGGAAGUGUCAUUAGAUUUUUAGUUAGUUAAGCACAUUUUCCUCCCAAAUAGUAGUCGAAAUACAACUGUUUUUUAAGAAGAAGAAACCGAAUCCUUCAAACUAGGAUAAAAGUCAUUAUCUAUUAACAUAGAGUUAAAGUUACAAGGUUGAAGGCUAGAGGGAAGCCUGAAACAACCUAAUCUAACAAAGCUUAAAGUUAAGAGUUGGUAGUAACAUCAUAUUAGUUACAAGAUGAAUGACGCCUAGACCAAACUUCGAUCAAGUUACAUGUGUCUUCCCACAAGUUAACAAUAAACCUUGAUUUAUCCUUAAAAAUUCUAUUGUUUCUUUCUAUCCAAACAAUCCAAAGUAAGCCAGUUAUGGAGGAGGAAUACACAUUAGAGAGCUCAAUUAUGGAUGGAGGAAUACACAACUUUUUCUCGUGGUCAUUUUCCUCGUGGGCAUUCUCUUCAUGUUUCUUCUUAUUCCGACUAAAAUACAAGCACAAAUUAUUCUUCGCCUUCGUAUAGGUUUGUUUGAAGAAGAUUAAAAAAGUCCUUAAUUUAUCUCGACACUUCCAAAACCAGAAUAUAAUACCCGUGCUACAUAAAUCCCUCUUUCCAAAUAGUCGAACAUGAACUAUCCAUGCAUAUCUUGGAAUAAACAAGAGAAACCCUAACUAAACGCAAAUAGAAAAUACGUUGCAAUCUAAAAUAUAGUUAAAGAAACAAAAAGAAGUUUUAAUGUUGUGGGUUUUUUACUGAUCUUCUUCAACAACAAAAUAACUCAACGCCACAGUUCAAUUUUUCCUUCCACGAAUUGGGUUUUUAAAGAGUUUUCACCGCGAAUAAAUUUUUUUUGGUUCGACAAGUAACAACAUGUGAAUCCCCAAAUGCAAGGUUUUAUUAAAAAUUAAAAAUAUAAUUUUUUAAAAAAAUUAUAAUACCUAAAAAUAUAUUUUUUUUAUAUUUAUAACCUAAUUUUCUGUCAUUGCAUACUUGAGAGAAAUAUAUUUUUCAAUUAGCAUAAUAACCUUUAUAUAGUAAAUUAAAUUUGUAGAAUGAGAAAAGACCUUAGAUCCAAAAAAGUUAUUUAUUUAUUAUUGGAGUGAAUUGUAUAAUUAAUGUAGUUAAUGGAUGGUUUUGUAACCAUAAAAAAAUAAUGAAAAUAAUUUUCUAAAAGAAUGAAUGAAAAUUUGGAAAGUUAAAAGGUUUUAGGAAUUAAAAAAAAGGGUGUAACAUUAUAAAAGACUACCAAAUAUACUGUAAGAGACAUGCAUUAAAGGAGCUGAGUGUCACGUGUGAAAUUUUGACCCCAAAAAUCACCCCCAAAAUUGCGCUAAUUCAUGCCACGACUCCUUCAGCAAGGCCCAGGAGCAGCCCAACGUGGUCCUAAGACAGCCUAAGGGCGACCACGACAUGUGCCUACGGCAUUGGCAUGCACCUCUCGAGGACAGCUCACAAGCCCCGCACGCGUGCCACGACGAGUGCCCAUGACAGCCGAGUGUCAGCCCACGACACAGCCCCAUAGCACGCCAGAUGCCCGUUGACACGGCCAUAGGCGCCCGGCACCAGCGCCCACCAUCGACCCAGCGCGCGCCGUGUCCGCCCAACGUCCAGACGGCCCCAGAACCUCCGAGAAGCUUCCAGAAGAAUCGGGAAGGCGCGCAACACUUCGCGUGGCGCGCACGGCGCGAACCCAACGCGCGCGCCGACGCCCCCAGAUGCUUCCAGAAGGCUCCACACAUGCCCAUGUGUGUGCUGCCCGCCCAUGCUCAGUCUAGACAACCCCAGAAGCCUCUAGAACGUUCGAGACAGUGCCAGAAUGUGCUGGAAUGCGCGGAGGCUCCCGAGAAGGCCCCGGAACGUGCUGGAUGAUGCUGGAACGUGCUGGAACACUCUAGAAGGCUAUAUGACGGUCAGCGAGUGUCAUGAAAGGUCUAGUCCUCUCUAGAAUGUUCUAGGCUUCCUUGUUAUGUACCAAAUGAACUUGUAAUCUCUAGAAUCUCCCUUGGCCGACCUUCUAAGGCCCAAGGUCGGUGGGGAUGGUCUAUAAAUACUUGGGAGGGCCUCAUUUGUAUCAAGCCUUGCAACCUUGCAUCUUGGCAUGUCUUAGCCAAGCAAGGUCACCUUGCCACCCAAAGUCUCCUUGCCCAUGGUAUCCCCAUGACAAGAAGACAGCAUAUUUGUACCCAAAUAUGUAUUCAUCUAUUGUUGGAAUGCAAUGUAUCAUUCCAAAGACGUAUCCAUCCAAACUCCCUCAUCCUUCCAACCUCUCUCAUGUCUUGCAACCAACCUUAGUACUUCCGCUGCAACCGUUGUCGUAGUGCUUGGCACACUACCCCUUCCGGGAAAGGCUUACUUGGCUACGUGGGCAUUGUAGUUAGCCAAGUGCCGCAUGUAUGGUUAGCUUCAAGAUCCUAACCACGUGACAUGAGGCAUGCAUACUACCAAAUAUACUAUAAAUAAACCAUAAUUCUUUUUUAAGAAAUUAAACAACUAAUUAAAUAUAAAGAAGAAAGAUUAGAAAAUGAAUGAUCAAACAAACUAUGACUCAUUUAUUUUUGACAGGUUCGGCCAGUAUCACCUGACAAUUCAUUUUCACCAAGAGAAUAAACAUGAGUAGCCUUGGAAUCAAGUUCCUCCGAUAAAAGCCACGGAGUUGAUGGGUUAGAGACAGAACCAGAAUUUGAGUUCAACGAUGUGGAUGGAAAAUUCUGAAACUAGGAGCAACAGGAAGUUAAGACAACGAAUUAUUUUCAAUAUAGAAAGGCUAAUUGUAAGAAGUUGUUAAUGAAGUGUCCAAAUGCAUUAUGGUAAUAUUGGGUGCAGAAUGUUUGGAAGUUUUAUCCGUGUGCUGUGAAGCACCACAGAGUUGAAGCAUAUGAAACCAGUGUUUAUCUGACAAAAAAUAGUGUCAUGAUCAUUGCCUUUCCAUUCCAUAAAUUUAUGGAUAGCAGAAGAAAGAGAACUCUCAACACUUGAAUCACCAUAUAGCACUCUACAUCCAGGUGGUGCCUUGAUUUUUGAAGAUUUAGUUAAAAGCAGUGAUAAAAUUGGUACAUAAAUUACAGUGCAUUUCUCGAUAUGCAACAACAUUAAGAGCAACUUAAAGACAACAUCAUCAAGAAAUCUAGUAUUUAAAAUGUACAAAGAGCAGUAGUAAACAUAUGUAUUUUAUGGCUGACUUUAUCCAUAAUAAAUGUUGGAUUAAAUCAUCAAAAUAAAACACAAACAGAUAAUUAUCGAGUUUUUCAAUGGAGGAUAGAGAGGAAGACAUGCAUGCACAACUACUAGAUCUAUAUGGUGCCAGACUGCCAGUAAAAAUUUAAAGACACACAUGACAACAUUAUUUUGGAUGAAGUUCUAAUAUUGCAACCAUGGAGGAAAAAUCAGCAAAUCUUAAAUAGAUGUAGUAGUCCAAAUGAUAAAAGUUUGUCUCAAGAUAAUAUUUCAGUAACUGCAGAUGCAUUGUGUUGAACCUAACCUCUUGUGUUUCACGGUAAUGAACAAGGACAAUGUGUUCAAAGGUCCUGAACAAAAAGCAGAAGCAAGUCAUAAAUUAUAUAAGUAGAACACGAUAUACUGCCACUUCUAAUUUCAUUUUUCUUUGCUUGUGGCAUGAUGGGGAUAGACCCCACUGAAACAACUGGUAGCAAGCAAUUUAACAAUUUUCUUUCAACCAUAACAUACUUAUCUAGGAGCCAAUAACACCGGCGAACAAAGGUUGGGCUAUCUAGUCCAUGGGCAUAGUAUACAUGUAUCCUUUCUACAUUACCAACCUGCCGAAGAGAAAGAAAAGAUUAUCAAAGCACACCUUUUCUUGGUUAUUAAGGCUGUAAAAGAAUGAAAAUUACCAUAAAUCUAAACACAGUUAAUAUUAGACCAUUGAACAACCUAUAGAUUCAAAAGGAAAGACUCAAACCACCAAUAGACUGGUUAAUCAUUUAAAAUGAUCUCCAACAACAUGAUACGCAGUAUAUCGUGCUAGAUCCAUAAUUACCACAUGUGGACUCCUAUGGUAAUUUCAUUGAUGAUACGCAGCUAGUAGGCAAGAUUAUGAAAUGAAGACGGUAUGUGAGAAGAUUGAAAAGAUCAACAUGAUAAAAUUAUAGGGAUUUGAAUUUAUAUCUUAAGAACACCAGAGUCAAAUGCUUAAGCUGAUUAACUGUGUUAAAUUUAACUCUAUAAUAUAUUUUAAAUCUGAACAGUCAUUAAACAACUACAUUUUGAAUAAGCUUUAGAGAAUAUUAGCAAAAACAGUAGAAAUUACUUCAAAUUUGUAGAGAGAACAUAUAAAUUAUAUUCUACAGAAACACGAGCCCAUAGCAUGUCUACUGAGUAGCAAUGACAGUGAAAAAGGGAAUAGUAAGUAACUAAUCUCAUAAACCCCUUUCUCACAUCUAACCAAGUUCUUUCAUGACAUGCAAAAGCAUCAAAAUAUUUAAGAAAACUUCCAAUAUUGCAUUUGGAACUCAUUGAUUGACUUCAACGUUUAAGAGUCAUAAAAGACACAACUUACUUUCUCACCUGUCACCACUAAGCCUACGGCAACAUCUUUUUAUAAGAUAUUCAGCUAAUCUUUAGAUUGUUUACCGAAUAAUCGUCUAUUGUUUUGUAAUUGAUCCCACCAAGCGCUUGCGCCACCUUGAAGUUUGAGAGCAACUAAUCGAACCUUCUUGUGUUCGUGGUGUAUUGGCAUAGUCGAAAAAAUUUCUACGUUCUUGAUCCAAUCAAGAAACUUCUCCACGUCCAUUCGACCAUUGAAGGUAGGGAGAUCCACUUUCAUACGUAUUUCUUGAUCUUCUUGAAAGUAUGGUCGAAGUCCAAGCCUUUGUUGAGGUUCUUGAUGAAUGUUCAGCAAGUUGUCUUCAUCGGAAGAGUCAGAAUCAUUUAAGAAAUUUCAGGUACGUUGUUUCCAUACAAUCGAUUAUUGUGGAUGUGAAUAGGUUGAUUUCUUAGUAGUUCUUAGUUUACAACAGGGUUUAUUGGUCUUUCUUGUCUUUCUUGGUUUGCUGCAAUUGGGUUUCUUGGGGCUGAAUUGCUUCUUCUAAAGGUUGGACAUGAAAUCGGGUAAAAAGGUUUGUUAAUUCUACUAACGAUUGCUGUAUAUCUGACUGCCCUUUUCGAAGUUCUUCAAUAGCUUGUUCUACCAACUGCAAGCGUUGGUUGAAGGAGGCUUCCGCGUCCAUGGAUAAGAGUGGUAGGAUCCAAGUUUUUUUAGGGAAGAGUGAGCUAGGAUCACGCUCUGAUACCAAUUGAUUCAGUAAUUGCAAAGCUAGAAAUCUUUAUGUAUAAUGCCUCUUUUUUUUUAUGUCUUAUUAAUGAAAAUGAGAAGCUUUUUUAUAGGCUGGAGAUUAUAAGAGUUGUUAAACUAACUUGGGGUUGAGUUAGUUAACUUGGAGUUGAGUUAGUUAUAACUAACUCAAGAUACAAAAUUGGUAAUUCAAAUAACUAAUCCUAAACUAUAAAAAUGGUAAUUCAAACCCCUCCUCUAGGAUAAAACUCAAGAAACAUCAAGAAGGGAGAUGUUCUACAUCAAAGUGUAGAGAACGAUUCAAAAUCCUUGGUGAAAGAAAUGAAUGUUAACUAAUGUGUGUUUAUGUGAAAUUGUUCAAUGAGUAUGUUAAGGAUAAAGAAAGGUUUAUGCGAGAUAAAAUUAUUUGAUGUUGUUUAUGCGAAAUGAUGUUUAUGAAAAGGUAUUGCGAAAAGGAUUUCAUAAAACCUUAGUCUUUUAGACAUUCUUUCAAAAAUUCAUCUUCCAAGAUGAGGUGUUUAGGCCAAGUAGAGAAGAAGGUUGAAGGAUUUGCAGCGAGAUGACCAGACGUUUUGAAAAUAGUUAAGCAUUGGUUGUUUGGUCAAAGUGUUGUAAUUAUGUAUCAAACACAUGUUAUUAAUAAACAUCUUGGUAGGUAUUUAUUAUACUUGCACGCCUACUCUCACAUUUAGCCAUAUGUUGUACUUUGUUUUCCACCUUGACUUUUAAUGACACACAAACCAACUUUCCAAGGAAUUCCCUUUCAUUUUCCUAUUAACUCAUAUUCUCUUUUUUUAUCAAGUCCUUGAUAGAGAAAGUGGACUUUGAGUUGUUGGACUUUAGUAUUGCAUGGACAUACAAUUUUGAAUGAAAAAUCCUUAUAAAUGGGGCCUUUUAACUCAUUUGAUGGGUUGGCUAUUGAAUUUGGGCUUUCAUACCAAAUGGAAUUUUUUUUCUUAUUUACUUAAAGAAAAAAAAAAAAAAUUUACCACGCCCAUUUUUUUUCAUCUAUUUCUUUCGUCCGGUUCUUUCAUCCAACGAGUCCCACAACUCGAUUAUGAGUCUAGAAGUACUAAGUCAAACUUAGUGGUUGUUCGAAUAAAACGCAACUUCAAAUGUAAGUAUUCUAAAAACCUUAUUUUUUGGUUUAGUCUCGUUAAUUAAGCCCAAUUAGGGUAGAAUUUCGAUUCUUUUUCUGUUGUGCAUGUCUUAGUUCUAUCAGUAACUCCCUUCAGGGUGAUAACUCUCAUCAGCAGACUUUCCAUUACUGGUUUCUUCCUUAGUCAUCAUUAUAUUGUUGUUUUCCACAAUAGAUAGGGUGAGUUGCAGUUUUACAUGAAAUGCUCUGCUCACCCACACUCUUUUCUCACUAGUUCCUUAUUCUCAAUCUUCAACGCAAAUUUCAUCAUCUGGGCCAACCCAAUCGGUUCCACAGUUUCCACUUCCAUUUUUAUUCAUGGGCUAAGCCCAAUCAUCAAAGUCUCCUCUAACACUACCGUUUGAAGAAAUGCUACUAGAGCUAAAUAUCGAUCAAAUCGGUUGCGGUAUUCUUCUAAUCAUUUUCUGUUUGAUUGAGAAAAAUCUUCCAACCAAAGUUCCUUCUCGAAUUGAUCGAAACUGUACAAGCAUUCGUUCUUUCAGGUCAGCCCAAUUCUUAAAAACUUCCAACUCUUCUUGUGCUUGGUACCAAUCCAAUGCCAGAUCAUCAAAACUAAUAACGCUGUGGUUAAUUUCUCUGAAUCAGUAAGAUCAUGUAUCUUAAAGAAGCGAUAGGCUCUAAAUUGAGACCCAUUUCUAAUUUGAGUAAUGAAGUAAAUUUGGCUAGGUAUUAAGAAUUUGGCGUUUGAAUAAAUCCACGAAAAGGAUUAAGCGAUAAAAAAAUUUAUGGUUAAGUAUACGUUAUUGCGAUUCAGUGGGUAGUUCGCGAAGGAAGUUGUGCGACCCAUUUCUAAUUCGAGUAAGGAAGUAAAAUUCGGCUAAGAAUUAAGAAGUUGGUGUUCAAAUAAAUCCAUGGAAAGAUUAAGUGAUAAGAUCUUUUACGGUUAAGUAUACUUUUUUGCGAUAAGUGGUAGUUCGCGAAAGAAGUUGUGCGAUAAGAAGCGAAAAAGUCUUUGCGUAAGUUAGAAAUGAAAGUUUUGAGUGUUAGACUAGGAGUUUUGGGUGGUCUUCGCGAGAAGAACCAAGUGUUUCGUGGAGAAGAAGUCUACGAGGAAGCCUUGGAGUUUAAGUUCGUGAUAAGAGUUUUAUGCGAGUAAAAGUUGGUUAGUUCAUGUGGAACGUUUCUUAUAAUAAAAAUAUAAUCAAGCGAUAAGGUUAUUCACGAGAAAUGUUAAGUGGUUGAAUUUAUUCACGGUUUGGGUUAGGCGGGAGCAAGGUUUGUAAAGAAAAUGUCAAAUCUGAUUUGACAUGGGUUAACAUGUAAGAUUAAGGAUUUGAGCAUGACUAGGUUAAAUAUUAAGGAUUUGCAUGACUAAGUUAGUAUAAGGGAUCUAUAAAAUAGGAGAAUUUAGGUAACUAAGGAGGGGAUGACGAGAGUUUUGUUGAAAUGCUAAAGUGUUGUUGGUUUAGCCACGAAAAGAUGGUUGUGAGAAGGACUUCUUUAGUAAAUUUUGGUGAGUGCUUUUCAGUCAAAAGAAUUUAUGUUAAGAAACUUUAUUACGAUUUCUCUUUACUGAUUGAAAGAAGAAUUCAGAUGAGAAUGUUUCAGAAAGAUUUCUAUGAAAAGUUAUGUUCAAGCAUUAUUAUAAUGUUAAAGCUUGAUUUGAUGACUAUGAUUUCAAUAUUAUGUUUCUUUGAGAUGAUGCUAACUUUUGUGUGCACAUAAAGAGUGAAGGCACUAUGGAGUGUACGAACUACAUGGUAAUAAGAAGCUGACUUAUGCAUUGAAAUGAGCGUAUAAAGCUUAGCGGAUGACAACAAAGACGAAUUUGUAUGUUCUCAGAUGUUGAUACAGUAGUCUAAACGCGAGGUAAUGACACCAGCGUAGAGAAUGAUUCGGGAUCCUUGACAAAUGAAAUGAUUUUUUAAGCAUAAAGAAAGGUUUAUUCGAAAUGAAAUAAUUUUUCGGUAUAUUUAAAUGAUUUGAUAUUAUUUUACAAAAUGAUUAUGAAAAGGUAUUGUGAAAGGUUUUCAUAAAACCUUAAAGGAUUUAAAAAAAAAGUGGACCAUUCAACUUAAUUCCCAUCCACUAUCCUCUUGUCCAACAUGAAACUUUAUCUUAGUAAAACUUCUUGAUCCACUAUUUUACAAAAAUAUUCAAAACAAUACCAUACUACACCAAAUGUGAUAUUUUGGUAACACUAUAAAAUGGUCAGAAAUACCAUUUUCCUGACUUUUUUUUCAUCGACCAUUAAAGAAAAAGUAUAGAUGAUGUUUCAAAAACUUCCAAACCAUUGUGUUAGUUAUCGUUUUAGAUGAGGGUUGGGGUAGAGCAUCAAUACUAAAGGUUGUUAAGGAUUAAGAACUAAGACUUGAAAACAAAACCGCCUGCCUGGUUGACAACAACACCAUCCCACUAGAGUGCACAAUGAUUAUUAUUGCAUUAAGAAGAAGAUGGCAGUUAACCUUAGCGCCAUAAUCAGAACCUCAAUCCUCCCUUUGAUGAAAGCACCUAAAGGUGUCAUGCCUUUCCCCUCUACCACAUUGAAGCUCUUUGUCUAACACUACAAGAAAUGAGGGCUCUCUCGAUGCAUAAAAUCAUUGGGAGAUAUAUAAAAAGCAUCAGAAAAGGCUUUUCUGACAUACUAAUAUACGUUGGAACACAAGUCAGGAAAAAAUGUAUCGGGAGAGGAACUCCCGAUGCACAAUGUUGUGCGUCGAGAGUUUCUAGACAUCUUCUGACGUUGUAUGAACGUCGAAGAUGUUGUCAAUAUAGCAUCGAGAGAUGUCUAGGAACCAUGCGUCGGGAGAUCCUCUAUUUUUUAUUAAAAAAAAUAACUUCAAUUAAUUCCUAAAUUCAAAUUGAAAACUCUAAAUUCAAACUCAACUUCAACACUUCAACCUCAACUUCAACACUUCAAAUUCAAAUUUCUAAAACCUACAACUAAUUCAAAAUUCUAACAACACUUGAAAUUAAAUUUCAACACUAAAACUUACAACUAAUUCAAAAUCUAAAUACUAAAACUAAUUUGAAAUCUAAAAUCUAACACCUAAAACAAAUUUGAAAUCUAAAUACUAAAACUAAUUAACUAAAACAAAACAAUAACUAACUAAACCACUUACCGAUGGCGGCGACGACAGGACGACAACAGGGACGACAAUGGAGAUGACAAUGCCCUCUUCUUCUUUAUCUUCCUCUCGGUCUCCCUCUCCCUCUCUCAUUUUUUUCUCUUUAUGUUUCAUUUAUAUAAAGAAUGGAGUUAAAAAAGGCAGAGAACUCCUGACGCACAACGAAAACGAAUUGGUUCCACAAACCAAUCUCAUCACAGAGGUACUCUUUGCAAUUUAAGCUCUAUUUGCAAUGGACAGUCUUCAAAGUUUUUUUUAACGAUGUUUCCAAUGCUUUCCUUUCUCUCUCAUGUUUAAUAAAACAAAUUUCUCUUAAAACCUGUAGGGAGGCUACAUCGUAUCGAAUUUCAUACAACUGACGUGUUCAUCGAGUUACAACAAGUGCCGCACAAUAGUCUGUUCCAUUUUGAAAAGUUGUGAGUGUGACACGCUCACAUGAGGUUAGAACGAGACAUGGCAAGGCAAGCCCUACGCGCGCCUGCAACUUCUGCCACAAUAUUUUGUAAGCAAGCUGAUGUCUUUAGGCUGUUUUUGUGGUUUUUGGAAAUUUUAAGCAAAGUUUUGAUAUUUUUAUGAUCAACGGGAAUUAAAUGGAAUUAUUUCCCAUUAUUUUUCAUUAUUUUAGAUUUGAAGGAGAUCGACCAAGUUUAUAAGCCAAGGGUCCAAGCUACUCUCUAUAAGUGACAAAAAUGAGUUUAAAGUUGAUUUCUAUACAUGAAUUUACUAUCAAAUGUUUCAAGCAUGCUUUGAUGUUUGAAUAUUUGAGGAUACUGACUAUAAAGUAUUUCCAAAGCAUGAAUUUAGAAACAUUUUGGUAAACAUGUUUUUAUUCAUGAAUUUACUAAUGAAAAUUAUAAGCAAUCAUGAUUGUGCUAAGUUUUCAGAAUGUUUAAGCUUGAAAAUAAUAUUAGCAUGUUUUAGUCUAUACCUAAAAUAUUCUAAGAUAUAUAGCAACCCUUCGCGGAGAGAUUUUCUUGUGCAUAGAGGUCAUUUGAUUUGGAUAUUCAGUAAAUACCUAGCUUUCCAUCAUUGGUAUUAGAUAAGAGAUGAAGACUUCUAAAGAUGCUUAGUUUCCCAUCUCAGGGACGAGAGCUUGUACGAAUGCCUAGUUUUCCAUCUCAUUGUAGUUAUAACGAGAUAGGGCACAAUUGAUGCCUAGAGUUUCAUCUCGUAAGUAUCGUAUCACGGGAUAGGGCUUCUAUGCCUAGUUUAUUGUUUUUCGUCUCGACGAUUAUAGGUAUAACAGAGAUUUGGUUUGAGGUGCUUCUUAAGUCUUUAAUAUUUAUGUUUGUUUUGAUCCUAGGAAUUGAGCAUGUAAUGUAAAAAGUCUAUGCACAAGGGGUCAUAUGGCCAUCUCCGUGUUUCUUUAAUUAUCAAAUUUGUUCAAGUUUUUAAUUGUCUCUAGAUCAAAAUCUGGAGUUAUUUUUUGUGAUUUGGUGUACAAAUACAUACAUCCAUGUUUCUAAUUAUGAUUAGAUUGUUUUCUGCUCGCAACAUUUUAUUGUUUAGCUUGUCUUUGAUCUUGAACUUACUAUUAUGUUGAUUUAAAUUCCAUUUUAGCCUUAGAACUUUCAAAACAUCCAUUUUAGUCAUCGAGCUUCCAAAACGUAGCCAACUAAGUUUUAGUAUUUUGUAAAUUAUUUUAUCAAUUAAUAUUCAUUUAUCCAAUACUCAUCGGUCAUUUCUGCUAUAUGUGAUUGGAAUAUAUCUCAUAGGAAGCAUUUUGAAAGUUGGGAAAAGAUGGAAAAUUUUAGGGACUAGAACAAGAAUUUGUUUAAUAUUUUUUGAUAGGGUGAAUUCUUGCAAUUUCCUUGUCGUAUAUACAUAAUUUUUUCUCUCAUUUGGCAAAUUCAUUAUGCUUGAAAAUUUAGGUGAUUCAUGAGCUAGAUAAAGUAAACAACGUAUGGAAGAUGAUCUUUGUGGCUUGUGAGGAAGACGUGGAGGAAGCCUUGGUGGCCGUAGAAAAAGGGAUAUGGACUUUCAACGUUGAAUGGUUAAUGGCAUGUAUAAUGAGACAAGAAGUAGACUUGGAGGCCCUUAAUUUGCUGAGUCCCUAUGAGAAACAAGGUCACCCUAACUUUCAGUUUUGAACAAGCAGCAGCCAGCCAUUUCGUCCUUGUGUAAAUCCACUCUUUUCUCAACUCACUCUAAUUUGGUACAUAAACAAACUCUGAUCGCUCCAUCUCUAUAUUCAUCAGUACAUAAAAGACGAUAAGUUUAUUCAUGGAGAAAGUUGGAUGUAAGUAUGUUUUAGGAAUGGUCCUUCAUUUAGUAACUUUGGGAAUUGUAAAAAUGAGGUAAUGAAGUUCUAUCAAGUUGAAUGUUCUUGUUUAUGUUAGAUGAGACUGAUUCUUGGAUACCAGAAUUAACUUGAAGUACGUGUUUGAGUUCCAUUGGAGUGAUUAGAGAAAAGAUGUUCCUUUAAAAACGGUAAUUUUUUUAUGUAGACUUUCUUUUUAUUAAAAUUGCUUAAAAUACAAUUUGAGAGUAUUUCAAUAGCUUUCAAAGAGUUGUCAAACACUUGUAGUUUUUCUAAAAUAACAUAUUUUCAAAAUUAAUUACUGUAAUAGUUAAACAAAAGAUUCUUUCCCUUCGAAAUUUUAAAGUUUGUCUAGUUACCUCUUAAACCUUUCAAUUGUUUAAUAGGUCUUUCAAUUUUAUGUUUUAAGUGUCAUAAAUUUUGAUUUUUUUUUAUUUGUUAGAUAUAAAUCUGAAGAAAUGAAUAAAGUAGAUUUGUAAGUUUAAAAUAGUUUAAAAGUUGAGAAAUUAAAUUUGUAGUUUAAAAGUUGGAGUAAAUAGUUUGUGUUAAGUCGGGUUGUGAUAUUUUAUUUAUUUAUUUUAAUAAUAGAAGAGAGGGAGACGAAAACUGCAGACUGAAGGGAGAAGAAGCGGUGGCUGACUUUGUAUAUUUCUCCUUUCUUUUCAAUUUGAGAAAAUUUCUUUGCAAUUCACUUUGAAAAGGAAAUGAAUAUUUCUCCCUCAGACUUAUCUCUCUCUUCUUUUCAAUUUAUUUUCAAUUUUUCUGUGUGCUUCUCACAGUGUAUGCAUAAUCUCUCUUUCAUUUUGAUAUUCAUCUCCAUUUCAAAUAUCUCCCACACAAAGAACAAAGAAAUGAGUAAAGUAACUGAGAGAGCAUUUUGUUUUUCCCUUCAUAUGGUUGGUUACUUUUUGUCAAUUAAAUGAAAAGUGAAGAAUAAGAUAAGAUUUUCUUUACCCAUUUGCCAUCAUCAUCAAAGCUAUUUACCUCAUUUUUGUUCACACACACACAACUUCAUUUUGUUGGAUUACACUCAUUUGAGAAAAUAGCAAAAUUUUAUUAGAAGAAUAGCAAACACGAGCAUUUCAUGUGUUUUGAAUUUUCAUUAACCCUAAAAUCUCCUCGCCUGCUUUUUAGUUAAACUGUAACUAAUUUUGAAAUAUGCAAAAUUUUAGCAUAAAUAUUGAUUUUCUCCUACAUUAUCUUAACACACUUUUUUUCCUCCAAAUAUUGGAUUUAUAUCAAAUCUUUAUUUUCAAAUUUUACUUUAUCCAAAUUUUCAUUUUUCAAAAUUUCAUCGUUAUUCUACUUUUAUUUUUGUAUUUCAUAUAUAUAUAUAUAUUUAUAAUAUUUAAUCUUAUUUUUUCUCUUUUCCUAUUCAUCUUCUUCCUUUCUCUUCCUCUUCAACCUACGGCCACACCACCGUCUCUUUUCUUCCUUCUCUUUUCAUUCUCCAAUCAACUUCACCACCGUCUUCCACCUACAUCGAACGUCAAGCAAAUUUUGUCGUAUCGUCGCAUCACCGUUAGCCCGAGUCACUCCGGUUCCGUCACGCCAUGUAUGUUUAGAUUUGAAUUGUUUGGUUAUUUGUUGCACCGAUCCGUCUCCGUUAGAAUUUGAUUCUCCACAAUUUGGGUAAGUUAUGGAAUUUACAUAUAGAGUGAAUUGAAUGGAUUAAAUUGUUUGUGGAAGUGAUUGAUUUCUCUUCAAUUAUGUUUAGGUCGGUUCGUUGCACUUUAGUUUGAAAAAGAAGCUUAAGUAAGGUUAUAAGCUAAGGGAUUCUCUACUACUGGACUCACCUAUAGUUUUGAAUUGUGCUGUCUGUAUAGUUACCUCGAUUGAGUAAAGAUGUCGAAACGAUAUAUAUACGUAUGAAUGUAGACUUGAUGUUGAAUGCAUAUUGUGAUUGUCUGGGAAUAUAUAUAUAUAUAAAUAUGUAUGGAUGUAGACAGGACGACAAUUGUAGAUUGUGUUUGUAUGGAAUGUGGAUGUGUGAACUUGUGAUUGUCGUUUAGAUUGGGUGUAUGUUAUACUAAAGUAUGGUUGUGUACUGGUGAAUUGAGGGGUGUUAUGACUAUAUAGUUUGAUUGACUGAUGUAUUGAUAUGUUACUGGCGGACAUUGGGCUAAAGUGAGAUAAGUUGACUAUUAGGGUGUUCAGUGAAAGGAUUAUAUGUUGAAGUAGUUGGUUACUAUGAAUGAGUUUUAAGAUGUUUAGAAUGGAUUGAGGGGAAAAUUGUUAGAUUUCUAUUGGGUAGUUACCUUGCAGGUGUCCUACAGGAUCACCACCUGAUAUGUGCAUCCUUCGAUAGCACUAGACUGAUAUGUGCAUCCUUCGGGAGCAUUAGACUGAUAUGUGUUUCUGCGGAACACUAGACUGAUUUAUGCGUCCUUUGAGGCGUUAGACUGAUUAUGUGUAUCCUACGGAUCACAAGACUGUGACUGUGCAGGGUACCCCAAUAGGAAGUUAACAGUUUCUUUUUCCCCUAACGGGACGAAUAACGGGUCUCUUAUUGGGUAUGUUUAUACUCAUCCUUUCAUGUUUAACUAUUUUAGGCAAAGGUAACAAAUGAGGUAGACUGACGAGGGACAAGAAGGAGACGUGAUUGCCAUAAGGGAAUGUCCUUCAAAUGCUUCUGCUUUAUGUUUCUUGUUUUCCUUUGUACAUGAGGUUGUUUAAAAAUUUUGUGAUGGAACUGAGUUUACGAACUGUUGUUUUGUGAAUAGUACUUUAAAGUUUGGAUAUUUGAAAUAGGGCCCGAACUUAAGUUUGUUUUCUUUGAUCGUAUGAUUUCAAGUGAAUUUUACUAUAUUUUGUGUCAAUCAAGGUCUCUUUGUCAAAAUUAAUGACUUCAACUUAGUUAGAAAAGUUGGGUCGUUACAACAAAUUUUAAGUAUUGAUGUAAGAAUUAUGUACUUCAUUAUAAAGGUCGAUAGCUUACAAAUAUUAACACGAUCGUGUACCGAUAACAAGACGAUUGUUUACACUAUUCAAUACGAUCACCAAUAUCAUAUGAUCGUGUACCCAUGUCAACACGAUAAUUUAUUUUAAUCAAUAUUAUCAUUUACCGUUCUUAAAUGUUCGUUUAUCACGGUUAAUAGGAUCGUUUAAUGUAUAUUAUUUCAUUGCACGAUCGUUUACUUAUUCUUGCAUUGUGUUUAGUAUUAUCAUUUUGUACAUUUUAUUCUUUUAUUCAGUAAUAAAUGUAUAUCUAUGUCUAUCUAUUUCUUUCUAUCACAAUUAAAUACUUAAUUUUAUUUUAUUUAUUUUUUUUACAGAUUAUAAUGUCUUUUCCUAUUGUUGUUUUUUACGGAGGUCAAUGGAAUGGAUGUAAUAUUUAUGAGAAUUACUUAGUUGCUGAAAUUUUGGUAGGUGUCCGAGUCAGCUUUAAUUCUCUAGUUGAUUUAAUAUGUGAACAGAUUCAAUUGGAUGGAUAAGUAGAAUUAUCUGUUUUACUUGAUUUUGGUAAAAGCAAGGUCCAACUGUGGUGCCAGUAAAGAAAGACAAUGAUGUGGCUUGGUAUUUAUCUUUUGCUAAAGAUGCAACUAAUAUACAUCCAUUAGUUGCUCAUGUAACUGUUGAUUUUUUUUAGAAGGUCUUCUUCUUCUUAGAGAACUACCUGUAGCUACCAUGCUUAGUUCAAUUAGAGAUGUAUUGCAAAAGUGGUUUGAUGAAAGAAGUAAAGCUACUUUUACAAUGAAGAGUUGUUUGACUUCUUGGGCUGAGAACGUGUUGCAUUUAGAAUAACAUGAAAAGUCAAGAAUUUUAUUGGUAAUUUUUUUUUUUUUUUUAAUGUUUGUAUCUCAGGUAGAUAUAAAUAGAUUGCUAUUUUUGUCCAUUCGAUAGAGAAAUAUAACAAUUUAUGUGUGCUUGUUUCAGAUAUAUAGAGAUAGAUAGCUAUCAAUGUCUAUUUGUCUCUAUUUGUGCAUGCUUUUUUUUUUAAUUUUUCUAUAUUUGUUUUAUGUAUUAGGUUGAUCCAAUUAGUAUGACUGAAUAGAAAGUAAUGGAUGAUACAAAAUGAUAAUGUGAUUUAUUUAUAUUGGUUCUAAUUUGAAAUAUUCAAAUUUACUUUGGAAAUUAGUAUAAUUAGUAUAAUAUAUAAUGAUACAUUAUAAUAUAAAGUUUAUAUUUAAUGAAACUUUAUUAUAUAAAUUUAAUUUUAGAUAAAGUUCAAAAUUAAUUUAUGAGAAAAUAUUUGAAUGAGUUCAAAUAUUAAUUUAAUGUGGAUUUGUUUCAUAUUAAAACUAUUAAUUAUGAGAUAAAGUUAUAUUUGAAUAUGAUUCAAAUUUAACUUAAGUUAAAUAUAAAAUAUUUAAUUUAGUUAUUAAUUAAUUGAAGAAUUAAUUAAUAGUUUAGUUUAAUAUUAUUUAAUUAAAUUUGAUUUAAUUAAAUUAAUAUAAAACUAUGGGUAUUGGAGAGAUAUUCAUUCAAUAAGAUUUAAAUGAAAUAUUAAUUAAAUAUGAUUUAAUUAAUUAUUAACUAAUUGAUUAAUGGUUAAUUAGUUAGUUGAUUUGAAACUUCUAUUAAUUUAAUAUUUUUUAAGUUAAUAGAAUCCUAUGAUUUUCUCCUACCCCGUCUCCUACUCAAUGAAAGAAAGAGAGUUAUAAAUAUGUAGAAGAAAAACAUCUUUUCUUAACCAAAAUAAAAUCGAUGAUUUUCUUUUCUGCAAAAUAGAUUGUAACGACCUAAUUUUUCGAAUUAAGCUGAAGUUAUUACUUUAAGACUAGAUUCGUCUUUAACCAUAAGACUUUAUAAUUUAAAAAAUAUAUUUUUUAACAACAUUAAAGAGUUUUUAUUCGGCUCUAUUUCAAAUAAAAUUUUGAAAGUGUAAAAGUAUCGAUAAUAAAGAAAGUUCAAGAACAUAAAAGUCGUUCAAUCAUGAAACCCAAAACAGUCUCAAUUACUAAAGAAAACCAAAAAAAAAAAAAAUAUAAAGUAAAAGCAAUUUGAAGGACAUUUCCCUAUGGCAGUUUCGCGGAAAAAGAUUAAACAUAAAAGGGUGAGUAUAAACAUACCCAGUAAGGGACCCACUACUGAUCCUGUUUAGAAGAAAAAUAAAAUUGUUAACUUCCUAUUGGAGGUGCCCUGCACUUUAAAAGUCUUGUGAUCAUGUAGGAAUACACAUAAGCAGUCCAAUGCCCUAAAGGACACAAAUACUAGUCUAGUGCUCUGCAGAAAGCACAUGUCAGUCUAGUGCUCUCGAAGAAUGCACAUGUCAGUCUAUUGCUCUCGAAGAAUGCACAUGUCAUUCUAGUGCUCUCGAAGAAUGCACAACAGGUGGUGAUCCUGUAGGACACCUGCAAGGCACACUACCCAAUCGACAAAGCUAACAAUUUUCCCUUAGUCCAUUAUAAACAUUUAAUCAAUCCAUUCCUAGUAUAGUCAAACUACUCCAUCAUAUCAUCAAUCCAACUUAACACACUUACGUUCAAUCUAUUCAAUCUAUCACAAAAUCAGUUGAUACUAUAACAACACACCAGACAGUCAAGAUAUAUAUAUAUAUACAUAACACCUUUCUCAGUUUACAAAUACAUUAUCCAUCGUAUCUACUUCUAUACCAGUAAGUUUACAAACACUAACUGUUGAGUUUCUACAGUAGAUUCUUGAAGAUGUGACUCUUGAACAGAUGGAUUCUCAUGGAUGAUCACAUGUUUGUUAUUUUGAUGGUCAUCAUUCUUGUCUAGAUUGUGAUGACUAGAAUCAUCACGAAGAUCAUCAUACAUGUUGUUAAUAUCAUCAAACAAUUGAUUCUGAUUCUAGUAUAGAAAGAAAAAAGGAUAAUAAAAAAAUAGUUACAAAAUGAUCGUGUAUCCUUAAGCAAACAAUCGUGUAGAAUAUCUAAACGGUUGUUUUACCAAGGGUGAUCGAUAUUUUAGAUGGGAUAUGCGAUCGUUCAUAUGUGAUAUGUGAUCGUGUAAAGAUAUAUCAAACCUUUGUUCUGUCAGAAGUCGUGCUAAGAAGAGUUGAAAGCUUGUAAUAAGAUCCAUCAAAACUGAAAGAUUUUACAUCAACACGUUCCUGACACAGUAAUGCAGUAUCAAUGAGCAUCAAAUUACGUGAGAUACGUAUUAGAAAAUAUCUAACUGCUCAGUUAAUUUUUUAUGGACAUCAAAUCACCUUUUUUCAAGCUUAAGGAAGGAAAUGUCGACACUAUAUAUGUCAGAGUUGUGCAUUGCAAUGGAAGUGCCAACACGAGGUGAUACAUGUGUGUCUGGGAUGUAAAUGCCACUCCCCGACUAGGACCAACAUAGACUUAGGGAGAAAGCAUGCUAGGAAUUGGAGUUGUGUCCUCAAUUUCUUCAAGGGACUUGAGCAUUUCUUCUUACACUAGAAUGUCUCCUGUUCAGAGAGUUUAUAGGAUUUCUCAAGGCCAUUUUUGCAUACUUAACAGCUCUUGACAACGGUAGAGAGUCUAACUCUACACUUUCAAGGGGUUCCAACUCCACCACUCGCUGAGCCAAAGAUAGAGACGAAUCAUUAAUGAUCCAGUAAGCAACAUGAAACCUUGUAAUUUUGGGGUUAACGGUAGUCCCUCCCAUUACUAGCUCAACACUUAAACGGAGUCUCCUCUAUAAAAUAUAAAAUAAUACAGACACAAAUAGUGAAUGAAAUCUUGUGACGUAACAAACACAAAUUUUAGGUAUACUGCAAUUUGACUAAAUAUUGAACAAGAAAACCCAAGGGAAUACACAAAAAUCCAACGUUUUUAGGGGUCAAUUUGGAAAAUGGCAAAACUACUUUUUCUUUUCAAUUUUAGCAAACAACAUUUUUUGCGCGUGCAUGGUAUUUUAUAAAAUACCAAAAUAUUCAACUUCUCCAACUAUAAUUAUUUUGUUUUUACGUUAUAAUUAAUUUAUGUUAUGUAUUUAUCAACUUUUAAUUAAUUUUUACUUGAAAUAGAUACAUUAACUCAUAUCAUAACUUUUCUCUUAAAAUCUCAGGACUCAAUUAAUUAAUUCAAUAUUUUAAUAACAUUAUUCAAUCUUAUUAAUUUCAAAAUAAUCUAAUUGAAUUUGAAUUUCAAAAUAACCAAAUUGAAUUUCAAAAUUACAAAAUUAUUAUUUUCUAGAAUUUGAGAAUCUCAACGAUAGAUUUUAUAUUAAAAUAAACUUAUCUCAAAAUAAUUUUAAUGACUUGAAUAUCAAGAUAAUUAAAUUAUUAUUUUAAAAAUUGGAAGAAAAGCACAAAAAGCGCACACGCCCACUCACGUACACACGCACGCGCGCGUAUACGCACACACACGCACACGCACACGCACAAAAGCGCACACGUGGACACUCACACCCACGCACACGUAGACAUACACACCCACGCACACGUGGACACGCGCAUACGCACACACGUACGCACUCACGCACACGCACGCACACACGCACAUAUGCACAAAGAUGUAUAAAUGAAUUAAAAUUAAAAAAUAACUACAAUAAUUUGACUUACUAACGUUAAUUAAAUUAUAAUUUCUAUCAAUAUUGGUUUAAAAGUGUCAUUAAUGUAAUUAUUUCAAUAUAAUGCACUCUUAUCCAAUUUUACGAACAAAAAACAAGUCGAAUAUGUACCAUUAGAUGACACUCUUUGUCAUAAGAGAUAUAGCAACGUUUUUAUGGGUCAUUUUGAAAAAUGGCAAAACUACUUUUUCUUUUAAAUUUUAGCAAAUAGAAUUUUUUACACGUGUCCAUGAUAUUUUAUAAAAUACCAAAAUAUUCACCUUCUCAAACAGUAAUUAUUUCGUUUCUACGUUGUAAUUAAUUUAUGUUAUGCAUUUAUUAGCUUUUAAUUAUUUUUUACCUGAAAAAGAUACAUCCUUUUUCUUAAUAUCUCGGGACUCAACUAAUUGAUUCAAGAUUUUAAUUUUAUUCAAUCUUACUAAUUUCAAAAUAACCUAAUUAAAUUUCAAUUUCAAAAUAACAAAAUUAUUAUUUUUCGAAAUUUGAGAAUCUCAACGAUAGAUUUUGUAUCAAAAAUAACUUUAAUUGAAUUUCAAAAUUAAAAAAUAUUAACUUGUUCGCACACAAGCACACGCGCACACGUGCACAACGCACGCACACACACGCACACACACCCAUCCACACACGCACACGCACACGCACAUAUGCACACACGCACAAAGAUGUGUAAAUUAAUUAAAGUUAAAAACAAAUACAUUCAUUAUGUUCAGAAAGAGUUUUAAACCAUGUUCAUUUGACUUAAUAACAUUGAUUAAAUUAUAAUUUCUAUCAAUAUUGGCUUAAAAGUGUCAUUCGUGUAAUUAUUUCAAUAUAAUGCAGUCUUAUCCAAUUUUACGAACAAAAAACAAGUCAAAUAUGUACCAGUAGAUGACACUCUUUGUCAUAAGAGAUAUAGCAACGUUUUUAUGGGUCAUUUUGAAAAAUGGCAAAACUACUUUUUCUUUUAAAUUUUAGCAAAUAGAAUUUUUUACACGUGUCCAUGAUAUUUUAUAAAAUACCAAAAUAUAAACCUUCUCAAACAGUAAUUAUUUCGUUUCUACGUUGUAAUUAAUUUAUGUUAUGCAUUUAUUAGCUUUUAAUUAUUUUUUACCUGAAAAAGAUACAUCAACCCAUAUCAUAACUUUUUUCUUAAUAUCUCGGGACUCAACUAAUUGAUUCAAGAUUUUAAUUUUAUUCAAUCUUACUAAUUUCAAAAUAACCUAAUUAAAUUUCAAUUUCAAAAUAACAAAAUUGUUAUUUUUCAAAAUUUGAGAAUCUCAACGAUAGAUUUUGUAUCAAAAACAAUUUUAAUUGAAUUUCAAAAUUAAAAAAUAUUAACUUGUUCGCACACAAGCACACGCGCACACGUGCACAACGCACGCACACGCACGCACACACACUCAUCCACACACGCACACGCACACGCACAUAUGCACACACGCACAAAGAUGUGUAAAUUAAUUAAAGUUAAAAAAACAAAUACAUUAAUUAUGUUCAGAAAGAGUUUUAAACCAUGUUCAUUUGACUUAAUAACAUUGAUUAAAUUAUAAUUUCUAUCAAUAUUGGCUUAAAAGUGUCAUUCGUGUAAUUAUUUCAAUAUAAUGCGGUCUUAUCCAAUUUUACCAACAAAAAACAAAUCGAAUAUGGAUCAGUAGAUCUACACUCUUUGUCAUAAGAGACAUAACAACGUUUUUAGGGUCAUUUUGAAAAAUGACAAAACUACUUUUUCCUUUGAAUUUUAGCAACUAGCAUUUUUUGCACGUGCAUGGUAUUUUAUAAAAUACCAAAAUAUCAACAUUCUUCAACUGUAAUUAUUUCGUCUCUACAUUGUAAUUAAUUUAUGUUAUGCAUUUCUCAGCUUUUAAUUAUCUUUUACUUGAAAUAGAUACAUCAACUCAUAUCAUAAUAUUUUUCUUAAUAUCUCGAGACUCAACUAAUUAAUUCAACAUAUUAAUAAUUUUAUUCAAUCAUACUAAUUUCAAAAUAACCUAAUUGAAUUUGAAUUUCAAAAUAACAAAAUUGAAUUUCAAAAUAACAAAAUUGAAUUUCAAAAUAACAAAAUUGAAUUUCAAAAUAACAAAAUUAUUAUUUUUCGGAAUUUGAGAGUCUCAACGAUAGAUUUUGUAUUAAAAUAACCUUAAUUGAAUUUCAAAAUUAAAAAAUAUCAACCUGUUCACUAUCUUUAUCUCAAAAUAACAUUAAUGCCUUAAAUAUCAAGAUAAUUAAAUUAUUAUUUUAAAAUUGGAAGAAACUCAACAUUAAAAAUAUUAACUUGUCGGACACAAGCAUAGAAGCACUGCGCACACACGUACACAUGCACACUUACACACACGCGCGCACACGCACACCUACACACAGACACCCACAGACGCACGAACCCACGCACACACACAUGCACACGCGCACGCAUGCACACACACACCUAUCCACACGCACACAAGCACACACACAUGCACAAACGCACACACGUGUACGCACAAACCUUAUCUCAAAAUAGUUCCUAUUUUUGCUGACAGUUUAUUUUUUGCCAUCGAUAGAGGAUCUUCCAAUAGACCUACGUGACGGUGUGUGUUGACAGCUUAAUUUUGUUGGCAAAAGAAAAGUUGAUUAGUUUUUGAAGAUUUACUGACGAUAUUUGUCAUCGACAAAGGGUAAAUUUCUUGUAGUGCAUGUACAUCAAACAUAUCAAAUUUGUUAAGUGUACCAAUGAAGUAUAACAAGUUUAUUAGUGGUGUAUCACGUGUAUCAAACUUAUUAGUGAAGUCUUUAAGUGUAUCAAACUAAUCAAGUGUAUCAAGGCCUCAGGGGUAUCAAGUGUAUCAAGAAGAAUCAAGUGUAACGAGAAGUAUUAUGUGGAACGAGAAGUAUUAUAUGUAUGAAGAUGUUUCAAGUGUGUAUCAAAAAGUAUCGAGUGUAUCAAUGAGUACCGAGUGCAUGAAUUGUAUCUAUCAAAUGUAUCAAGUGUAUCAGUAAGAAGUAUCAAGUGUAUCAAGGGUAUUAGGUGUAUCAGACGUGUAUAAGGUGUAUCAAAUAUACAUCAAUAACGAGGGCAUUUGUGACAUUUUACCUCUUGAUGUGUGAGUUGGUCUUUGUUUUUGUCAUUUUCUCAAAUAAUAAAGUAUGUGUUCUAUGGACUUAAUUAUUAUAACUUAUUUUGCCAUUUUCGCAAGUGUCCCUUAAUUGUAAUACAUGUAUAUGUGACAUAAUCUAAUCAAACUAACUCAUAAAUGGACUUAAUGUAUCAAGAGGUAUUAGGUGUAUCAGACGUGUAUAAGGUGUAUCAAAUGUACAUCAAUAACGAGGGCAUUUGUGACAUUUUACCUCUUGAUGUGUGAGUUGGUCUUUGUUUUUGUCACUUUCUCAAAUAAUAAGGUAUGUGUUCUAUGGACUUAAAUAUUAUAACUUAUUUUGCCAUUUUUGCAAGUGUCCCUUAAUUGUAAUACAUGUAUAUGUGACAUAAUAUAAUCAAACUAACUCAUAAAUGGACUUAAUCUAUCUCAUGGACCACGAAUUCUUCAAUUACUUGCAAAUUUGGUGAGUUCCUUCAAAUGGUGGGCGGAGAGCUUAAUUUUGAGAGAGAGGAAAAGUCGUGAAGAGUAUUUGCGAGAGAGGGGGGAACGUCGCCAGAGAGCAUUUGCGAGAGAGCUAAAGACAGCGACGAUGUGGGAUGAAGUAAGGUUUUUUUCGGUCAUUGUUCACAAGUGGGAUGAAAGCUUCGAAUUAUUUGUUUUAAAUCAAAAAACGUAUGAUUGAAGGAAAACAUUGAUUUUUAUUAGGGUAAUUUUUUAAUGACACAUAAUUUAUGCCAUUAUUUACAAUGCCAAAAUUUUGUCAAGAAAACUCAAUUUGUGUCACAAAAAAAUUUGUAUUUUUAUUUUUUUAACGACACAUUUUAUUCCCUCAUAUCCCUUUUUCUUGAUUUCAAGUGUCAUUAAAACUUAUAUUUCUAAAUAAAUUUAUUCGACGAAAGUGGCUAGAUUGGUGGGUUUGACGGCGAAGGCUUGUUGUGGGAGCAACGACAACAGUGGUUGGAGUGUGGAAUCGACGACGGCAAGUGGCAAAAAAUUGGGGGCAAGGGUUCUUCAUAACGACUCGAUAGCCCACUUCGAAUUUUUUUGAAAUUUGAGGUUUUUUCAUUUGAAAAUUUUUUUAAUGACAAAAAAAUUGACGUUAAUUAAUGACGCAAAAUUUGUGUUGAAAUAAAUUAAAUUGUGUCAAUAUGAUUGUUUUAAGAAAUAAUCCAUAUUUAUAUUUUCAACAACACAAUGUACCUCAUCCCACCUCUUUUUUCUUUUAUUUUCAACGACACAAUGUCUUGAUUAAAAUCCAUUUUUCUAGUAGUGACUGAAAAAAAAACUGGACAGAAUCAUAAUAUCUUUGAUAAUUAAAUCACCAGUUGGUUUGAACAUAUAUAAUCUUGGAUCUAUUCUAUUAUGAUAUGACCAUGGUACAUCAUGAACAUACAUUGACUAAAAAACUUAAAUUGAUGAGUGAAUGUAAUAAAUUUAAUAUUAAUUAUAUGAUCAAUACUUUACACAUGUAUAUUGGUAUAUCAGUCAAUAACAGUAGUAAGACAAAUUAUAAAAUAUAAGGGAUAAAAGUCCUACACAUGCAUGUAUGGUAUACUCUCUUGAUAGCAAAAUGCAUUUAUGUCAACUCAUGUUUGAAUGCAUUUAUGUAGGAAAUUCAAUAAAAUAAUUAAGAAACCUUGCAAUAUGUGAGAGAUAUACGAACUUCAAACAAAUUUUACAAGUUUCAGCAAAAAUUUUCAAACAACUUUUAAAGUUUAAGCAAAAAGUAACCGUAGGUAGGAAGGGGAGCAAAAGUGGGGUCUCGAAUUAAUUCUGAAAAAUUAGUAGGCUUUCAAAAUUUAGGUUCUAGAAGUAGAAUUAUUGCAGAAAAAUAAAUAAUUGCAUCAUUCAAAUUGAAUCAGACAUAUCAGGAUGUAUAUAUUCUCCACAACGUAUAAUGGAGUAUAAACAUAAAGUUUCUAUAUACAAAGCUAUGUAUCUCUACCCUUGACUUCUCUUUCUCUCUUUCUACCUUUUUUAUCCUUUCUUUCUUCCAUUCACUCAAUACACUUGCAAGAACCUUCAUUUUUUUGUAUUUAAAUUUUCUUGGCACCAUCCUUUUUUUUAAUUAUCAAGGCUUUGUUAUUGUGUACCAGUAUUGUGUCGUGCCUCCUUCACUUCUCAUCAUCAUUUUCAUGUCACAUCUCUACCUUGUCAAUUUUCGUUUUUCACUCAGCUUUCUUUCUUCUUUUGUCUUCACUACUUUCUUCGCUCCUUCUUCUCAAGCUCUAACUUUUGCUAUUAUCAACCAGUCUCAAAUGACCAUUGGAAAACCUAUAGCCCACUGAGAGGCAGCCAAUAUAGUAAUGUCUCUAAUGAUAAACUCCAAUGAAAUCAAAAGUUCUUCUUUAAGAUUUGGAAAAAUAUAUUAGAUAAACCCGGACGUGGUGAACGCGGUGAACGCAGACGCACGGACGGUGAACACGGCAGAAGUUAGAGAUCCUCAGAGAGAACUUGGCAUUUUCGAAUGCGGUAGAGACAAGUCUAGGGCUUCAAAGGAUUCAACCCAAUAUUUUCUUUAUAUAUAUAUAUAUAUAAUAUAUAUUAUAUAUAUAUAAAUAUAUUUAAUAACACUUGACGUUUUCAAAAACGUCAAGAAAAACGAUCUUACUUAACGUCUAAAAAAACAUCAAGAAAUUUAAAAAAUAACUCUCUCUGGCUUUUUAUAAAAAUUCUUGACGUUUUAAAACAUAAAGAAUUUUUAAGAUAUUUCUUGACGUUUUUAAAAUGUCAAGUAAAAGUACAUAUUACUUGACGUUUGAAAAUUUUGAAGAAUAUUGAAUAUAUAAACAUUCUUGACGUUUAAAAAUGUCAAAAUUUUUAUAGAUAUUUCUUGACGUUUUUAAAACGCCAAGAAAAAAUACAUAUUAGUUGAUGUUUAAUAAACGUCAAGAAAUCUGAAAAUUGACCUACCCGCCUUUUCGUAAAAAUUCUUGACGUUUUAUCUUUGGAACUACUCCUUUCUUGACGUUUUUUUUGAAAAAAAUGUCAAGAAAGAAAAACAACAAACGUCAAGAAAGGCCUUUUUUGUAGUAAUGACAUACAUAAAUAUAUAUAUAUACAUAUAUAUAUAUAUAUAAUGAAUUAAAAUGGUUUUGUUGCUUUACUGUUUUACUCUAUAAAGGAAGAGCAUUAUAAAUAUAUUAUUGAGGAAACAUUUUUUGAAAUGACUGGUUUUGGAAGUGUCAUUAGAUUUUUAGUUAGUUAAGCACAUUUUCCUCCCAAAUAGUAGUCGAAAUACAACUUUUUUUAAGAAGAAGAAACCGAAUCAUUCAAACUAAGAUAAUCCUAGGAUAAGAGUCAUUAUCUAUUAACAUAGAGCUAAAGUUACAAGGUUGAAGGCUAGAGGGAAGCCCGAAACAACCUAAUCUAACAAAGCUUAAAGUUAAGAGUUGGUAGUAACAUCAUAUUGGUUACAAGAUGAAUGACGCCUAGACCAAACUCCGAUCAAGUUACAUAUGUCUUCCCACAAGUAAACAAUAAACCUUGAUUUAUCCUUAAAAAUUCUAUUGUUUCUUUCUAUCCAAACAGUCCAAAGUAAGCCAGUUAUGGAGGGAGGAAUACACAUUAGAAAGCUCAGUUAUGGAUGGAGGAAUACACAACUUUUUCUCAUGGUCAUUUUCCUCGUGGGCAUUAUCUUCAUGUUUCUUCUUAUUCCGACUAAAAUACAAGCACAAAUUAUUCUUCGCCUUCGUAUAGGUUUGUUUGAAGAAGAUUAAAAAAGUCCUUAAUUUAUCUCGACACUUCCAAAACCAGAAUAUAAUACCCGUGCUACAUAAAUCCCUCUUUCCAAAUAGUCAAACAUGAACUAUCCAUGAAUAUCUUGAAUAAACAAGAGAAACCCUAACUAAACCCAAAUAGAAAAUACGCUGCAAUCUAAAAUAUACUUAAAGAAACAAAAAGAAGUUUUAAUGAUGUGGGUUUUUUACUGAUCUUCUUCAACAACAAAAUAACUCAACGCCACAGUUCAAUUUUUCCUUCCACGAAUUGGUUUUUAAAGAGUUUUCACCGCGAAUUUAUCUUUUUGGUUCAACAAGUAAACAACAUGUGAAUCCCCAAAUGCAAGGUUUUAUUAAAAAAUUAAAAUAUAAUUUUUUUAAAAAAAUUAUAAUACCUAAUUUUUUUUUAUAUAUUUAUAACCUAAUUUUCUGUCAUUGCAUACUUGAGAGAAAUAUAUUUUCAAUUAGCAUAAUAACCUUUAUAUAGUAAAUUAAAUUUGUAGAAUGAGAAAAGACCUUAGAUCCAAAAAAGUUAUUUAUUUAUUAUUGGAGUGAAUUGUCUAAUUAAUGUAGUUAAUGGAUGGUUUUGUAACCAUAAAAAUAAUGAAAAUAAUUUUCUAAAAGAAUGAAUGAAAAUUUGGAAAGUUAAAAGGUUUUAGGAAUUAAAAAAAGGGUGUAACAUUAUAAAAGACUACCAAAUAUACUGUAAGAGACAUGCAUUAAAGAAGCUAAGGCAUGCAUACUACCAAAUAUACUAUAAAUAAACCAGAAUUCUUUUUAAGAAAUUAAACAACUAAUUAAAUAUAAAGAAGAAAGAUUAGAAAAUGAAUGAUCAAACAAACUAUGACUCAUUUAUUUUUGACAGGUUCGGCCAGUAUCACCUGACAAUUCAUUUUCACCAAGAGAAUAAACAUGAGUAGCCUUGGAAUCAAGUUCCUCCGAUAAAAGCCACGGAGUUGAUGGGUUAGAGACAGAACCAGAAUUUGAGUUCAACGAUCUGGAUGGAAAAUUCUGAAACUAGCAGCAACAAGAAGUUAAGAUAACGAAUUAUUUUCAAUAUAGAAAGGCUAAUUGUAAGAAGUUGUUAAUGAAGUGUCCAAAUGCAUUAUGGUAAUAUUGGGUGCAGAUUGUUUGGAAGUUUUAUCCGUGUGCUGUGAAGCACCACAGAGUUGAAGCAUAUGAAACCAGUGUUUAUCUGACAAAAAAUAAUGUCAUGAUCAUUGCCUUUCCAUUCCAUAAAUUUAUGGAUAGCAAAAGAAAGAGAACUCUCAACACAUGAAUCACCAUAAAGACACACAUGACAACAUUAUUUUGGAUGAAGUUCUAAUAUUGCAACCAUGGAGGAAAAAUCAGCAAAUCUUAAAUAGAUGUAGUAGUCCAAAUGAUAAAAGUUUGUCUCAAGAUAAUAUUUCAGUAACUGCAGAUGCAUUGUGCUGAAUCUAACUCUUGUGUUUCACGGUAAUGAACAAGGACAAUGUGUUCAAAGGUCCUGAACAAAAAGCAGAAGCAAGUCAUAAUUAUAUAAGUAGAACACGAUAUACUGCCACUGUCUAAUUUCAUUUUUCUUUGCUUGUGGCAUGAUGGGGAUAGACCCCACUGAAACAACUGGUAGCAAGCAAUUUAACAAUUUUCUUUCAACCAUAACAUACUUAUCUAGGAGCCAAUAACCCGCGAACAAAGGUUGGGCUAUCUAGUCCGUGGCAUAGUAUACAUGUAUCCUUUCUACAUUACCAACCUGCUGAAGAGAAAGAAAAGAUUAUCAAAGCACACCUUUCCUUGGUUAUUAAGGCUGUAAAAGAAUGAAAAUUACCAUAAAUCUAAACAUAGUUAAUAUUAGACCAUUGAACAACUUAUAGAUUCAAAAGGAAAGACUCAAACCACCAAUAGACUGGUUAAUCAUUUAAAAUGAUCUCCAACAACAUGAUACGCAGUAUAUCGUGCUAGAUCCAUAAUUACCAGAUGUGGACUCCUAUGGUAAUUUCAUUGAUGAUACGCAGCUAGUAGGCAAGAUUAUGAAAUGAAGACGGUAUGUGAGACGAUUGAAAAGAUCAAGAUGAUAAAAUUAUAGGGAUUUGAAUUUAUAUCUUAAGAACACCAGAGUCAAAUGCUUAAGAUGAUUAACUGUGUUAAAUUUAACUCUAUAAUAUAUAAAUUAUUAGCAAAAACAGUAGAAAUUACUUCAAAUUUGUAGAGAGAACAUAUAAAUUAUAUUCUAGAGAAAGAGCAUCUGAAUUAUAUUCUACAGAAACACGAGCCCAUAGUAUAUGUACUGAGUAGCAAUGACAGUGAAAAAGGGAAUAGUAAGUAACUAAUCUCAUAAACCCCUUUCUCACAUCUAACCAAGUUCUUUCACAACAUGCAAAAGCAUCAAAAUAUUUAAGAAAACUUCCAAUAUUGCAUUUGGAACUCAUUGAUUGACUUCAACGUUUAAGAGUCCUAAAAGACACAGCUUACUUUCUCACCUCUCACCACUAAACCUAUGGCAACAUCUUUUUAUAAGAUAUUAAGCUAAUCUUUAGAUUGUUUACCGAAUAAUCGUCUAUUGUUUUGUAAUUGAUCCCACCAAGCGCUUACGCCACCUUGAAGUUUGAGAGCAACUAAUCGAACCUUCUUGUGUUCGGGUGUAUUGGCAUAGUCGAAAAAAAUUUCUACGUUCUUGAUCCAAUCAAGAAACUUCUCCACGUCCAUUUGACCAUUGAAGGUAGGGAGAUCCACUUUCAUACGUAUUUCUUGAUCUUCUUGAAAGUAUGGUCGAAGUCCAAGCCUUUGUUGAGGUUCUUGAUGAAUGUUCAGCAAGUUGUUCAUCGGAAGAGUCAGAAUCGUUUAAGAAAUUUCCAAGUACGUUGUUUCCAUACAAUCGAUUAUUGUUGAUGUGAAUAGGUUGAUUUCUUAGUAGUUCUUGGUUUACAACAGGGUUUAUUGGUUUUUCUUGUCUUUCUUGGUUUGCUGCAAUUGGGUUUCUUGGGGGCUGAAUUGCUUCUUCUAAAGGUUGGACAUGAAAUCGGGUAAAAAGGUUUGUUAAUUCUACUAACGAUUGCUGUAUAUUCGAUUGCCCUUUUCGAAGUUCUUCAAUAGCUUGUUCUACCAACUGCAAGCGUUGGUUGAAGGAGGCUUCCGCGUCCAUGGAUAAGAGUGGUAGGAUCCAAGUUUUUUUAGGGAAGAGUGAGCUAGGAUCACGCUCUGAUACCAAUUGAUGCAGUAAUUGCAAAGCUAGAAAUCUUUAUGUAUAAUGCCUCUUUUUUUAUGUCUUAUUAAUGAAAAUGAGAAGCUUUUUUAUAGGCUGGAGAUUACAAGAGUUGUUAAACUAACUUGGGGUUGAGUUAGUUUAACUUGGAGUUGAGUUAGUUAUAACUAACUCAAGAUACAAAAUUGGUAAUUCAAAUAACUAAUCCUAAACUAUAAAAAUGGUAAUUCAAACCCCUCCUCUAGGAUAAAACUCAAGAAACAUCAAGAAGGUAGAUGUUCUACAUCAAAGUGUAGAGAACGAUUCAAAAUCCUUGGUGAAAGGAAUGAAUGUUAACUAAUGUGUGUUUAUGUGAAAUUGUUAUGUUAUGAGUAUGUUAAGGAUAAAGAAUGGUUUAUGCGAGAUAAAAUUAUUUGAUGUUGUUUAUGCGAAAUGAUGUCUAUGAAAAGGUAUUGCGAAAAGGAUUUCAUAAAACCUUAGUCUUUUAGACAUUCUUUCAAAAAUUCAUCUUCCAAGAUGAGGUGUUUAGGCCAAGUAGAGAAGAAGGUUGAAGGAUUUGCAGCGAGAUGACCAGACGUUUUGAAAAUAGUUAAGCAUUGGUUGUUUGGUCAAAGUGUUGUAAUUAUGUAUCAAACACAUGUUAUUAAUAAACAUCUUGGUAGGUAUUUAUUAUACUAAAGUCAAAGUGUUGGACUUUAGUAUUGCAUGGACAUACAAUUUUGAAUGAAAAAUCCUUAUAAAUGGGGCCUUUGAACUCAUUUGAUGGGUUGGCUAUUAUAUUUGGGCUUUCACACCAAAUGGAAUUUCUUUUUCUUAUUUACUUAAAAAAAAAAGAAAAUUUACCACGCCCAUUUUUUUCAUCUAUUUCUCUCGUCCGGUUCUUUCAUCCAACGGGUCCCACAACUCGAUUAUGAGUCUAGAGGAUACUAAGUCAAACUUAGUGGUUGUUCGAAUAAAACGCAGCUUCAAAUGUAAGUAUUCUAAAAACCUUAUUUUUUGGUUUAGUCUCGUUAACUAAGCCCAAUUAGGGUAGAAUUUCGAUUCUUUUUCUGUUGUGCAUGUCUUAGUUCUAUCAGUAACUCCUUUCAGGGUGAUAGCUCUCAUCAGCAGACUUUCCAUUGCUGGUUUCUUCCUUAGUCAUCAUUGUAUUGUUGUUUUCCACAAUAGAUAGGGUGAGUUGCAGUUUUACAUGAAAUGCACUGCUCAACCCACACUCUUUUCUCACUAGUUCCUUAUUCUCAAUCUUCAACGCAAAUUUCAUCAUCUGGGCCAACCCAAUCGGUUCCACGGUUUCCACUUCCAUUUUUAUUCAUGGGCUAAGCCCAAUCAUCAAAGUCUCCUCUAACACUACCGUUUGAAGAAAUGCUACCAGAGCUAAAUAUCGAUCAAAUCGGUUGCGGUAUUCUUCUACAUUCAUUUCUGUUUGAUUGAGAAAAAUCUUCCAACCAAAGUUCCUUCUCGAAUUGAUCGAAACUGUACAAGCAUUCGUUCUUUCAGGUCAGCCCAAUUCUUAAAAACUUCCAACUCUUCUUGUGCUUGGUACCAAUCCAAUGCCAGAUCAUCAAAACUAAUAACGCCUGUGGUUAAUUUCUCUGAAUCGGUAAGAUCAUGUAUCUUAAAGAAGCGAUAGGCUCUAAAUGUGAGACCCAUUUCUAAUUUGAGUAAUGAAGUAAAAUUGGCUAGGUAUUAAGAAUUUGGCGUUUGAAUAAAUCAACGAAAAGGAUUAAGCGAUAAAAAAAUUUAUGGUUAAGUAUACGUUAUUGCGAUUCAGUGGGUAGUUCGCGAAGGAAGUUGUGCGACCCAUUUCUAAUUUGAGUAAGGAAGUAAAAUUCGGCUAAGAAUUAAGAAGUUGGUGUUCAAAUAAAUCCAUGGAAAGAUUAAGUGAUAAGAUCUUUUACGGUUAAGUAUACUUUUUUGCGAUAAGUGGGUAGUUCGCGAAAGAAGUUGUGCGAUAAUGUAACACCCGAACUCUAAGGUAAUUAAUUUAAUCGGACCAUUCGAUAUUUUUACUCUUAAUUUUUGUUCGACGUCAUUUUGUUGUUUUGUCUUAAAAAAAAAAGUGUUGGAAAAGUCUUUCAUAAUAAUAAUAUAUUAUUAUUAUUAUUAUUAAUUAGCAUAAAAAAAAGGAAAAGAAAAAGAAAUUAAAAUAUCUUUUUCCUCUCUCCCCUCUCUCACGCGUGCGACACCCUCUCUCCAUCUUUUUCUUCUUCUCUUUCCUGUACCCUAACCCAGCCGACCAUCAUCUUCUCCCCUUCCCUUGCCGUUCAGAUCCAUGGCCUCCGCCCACCGCCGCGUGACCCUCUGCCCAGCCCCGCCGCGUGACCUCUGUCUCCGUCGAAGCCAAGUCCAGCCGUCGUCCAUUCCUUUCCUCUCUUCUUCUCCGUUCGUGAAGCCCAGUCGCCGCGUCAGAUCGUCGAUCGAUUUUGAGGCAGCGCGCACGCCUCCUUCUAGCCGCGCGUUUCCUCUUCUUCCAGCAACGUGUUUUUUCUUCUAACCGCGAUUCACAAACCGACGUACACUCUAAUCUGUUUGCACGAUGGUUUUUGUUUAGAAUCGAUUGCCGCUGCCCCUAUUUUUACUGAGAUCCGUCGAAGUAUUGUUGGUAAGAUUGAAGUUAUGAAAUUGUAGUCGUUUUCAAAACAAUUUAAGUAUGGGUUGUGAUGUUUUCAAGGUGUUCAAACGUUACGGAUGGGUUAAUUGACUAAUUUGAUAAAUUAUUCUUGAAGGUGUGAAAGGUAACCUUGGAUCACUUAAAUUCACAACCAAUUUGUGAAUUUUGAUUUCGAUUUCGUUUGCCCUUAUUUGGAUUGUUUCGUGGACGAUAGUUGAUUAAGGGAGCUUCCCUAACUUUGAGGUAAGGGACUUUCUACUGGACUCACCUAAAGUUUUUGAGUUGUGUUGGACUGUAUGGAUGAUGAUUAAGAUGUACACGUUUGGUUGCAGACUAAAUGUUUAGUGUAUGUUGUAUUUGACUGGAAACAUAUAUAUAAAUACAUUGAUGUGUGAAUUGAUGUGGAUUGCCGAAAGUAUACAUGUGAAUGACUGAAAUUAUGCUUAUGUGUACAUGAUGAUAUUAAUAGAUUGUGCUGUAUAAAGAUUUGGAUGUGAACUAGUGAAUUUGUUUCGGUUGAAUGUGGAUUAUACUGAACUGUGGUUUGCGCUGGUAAAAAUGAGGGGUGUUGUGACUUUGUUGUUUACUUGACAGAUGUAUUAAAAUGUUAUCAACGACCUUCGAACUUAAGUGAGAUAGGUUGACUGUUAGAAUGUUGAGUGAAAGAACUUUAUAUUUUGAAGUAACUGAAAGAUGUCAUAAAUUACCGUAAAGAUGGUUAGAAUGGAUUGAGGGGAAAAAUUGUUAGUUUUAUUGGGAUGUAUGCCUUGUAGGUGUCCUACGGGAUCACCAAUUUUUAUGCGACCUUCGGAGCAUUAGACUGAUAUGUGUUUCUGCAGAACACUAGACUGAAAUGUACGUCCCUCGGGGCGUUAGACUGAAAUGUGCAUCCUACGGGAUCACAAGACUGCGACUGUACAGGGUGUCCCAAUAGAAUGUUAACAAUUUAUUUUCCCCUGACGGGACCAGUAGAGGGUCUCUUACUGGGUAUUUUUAUACUCACCCUCCUUAUGUUUAAUUUUUCAGGCAAAGGUAAUAAAGGCAGCAAACCGGCGAGGGGCAGGAAGGAAGCGUGACCGCCACAGGGGACACUUUAAAAUUUUGCUUCCGCUUAGUGAUUUAUAGUAUUAUUUGUAUUCGAACGUGAGACUGUUUAGAAAAUUUUGAAGUUUUAAAGUAUUCAAAGAUUUGAAACUUUUUAGUUUUAAAUUUUCAUGUGAAUUUUAGUAAUUUAAAACUGGGGCCCAAACAAACAAAAUAAAUUUUGUUCUUUUGAGGUUUUAAAUUUUAAUUAACCAAGGUCUUUUGUCAAAAGUUAAUGACCUCGACUUAGGUAAAAAGUUGGGUCGUUACAGAUAAGAAGCGAAAAAGUCUUUGCGUAAGUUAAGAAAUGAAAGUUUUGAGUGUUAGACUAGGAGUUUUGGGUGGUCUUCGCGAGAAGAACCAAGUGUUUCGUGGAGAAGAAGUCUACGAGGAAGCCUUGGAGUUUAAGUUCGUGAUAAGAGUUUUAUGCGAGUAAAAGUUGGUUAGUUCAGGUGGAACGUUUCUUAUAAUAAAAAUAUAAUCAAGCGAUAAGGUUAUUCACGAGAAAUGUUAAGUGGUUGAAUUUAUUCACGGUUUGGGUUAGGCGGGGAGCAAGGUUUGUAAAGAAAAUGUCAAAUCUGAUUUGACAUGGGUUAACAUGUAAGAUUAAGGAUUUGAGCAUGACUAGGUUAAAUAUUAAGGAUUUGCAUGACUAAGUUAGUAUAAGGGAUCUAUAAAAUAGGAGAAUUUAGGUAACUAAGGAGGGGAUGACGAGAGUUUUGUUGAAAUGUUAAAGUGUUGUUGGUUUAGCCACGCGAAAAGAUGGUUGUGAGAAGGACUUCUUUAGUGAAGUUUGGUGAGUGCUUUUCAGUCAAAAGAAUUUAUGUUAAGAAACUUUAUUACGAUUUCUCUUUACUGAUUUGAAAGAAGAAUUCAGAUGAGAAUGUUUCAGAAAGAUUUCUACGAAAAGUUAUGUUUUCAAGCAUUAUUUAUAAUAUUAAAGCUUGAUUUGAUGACUAUGAUUUCAAUACUAUGUUUCUUUGAGAUGAUGCUAACUUUUGUGUGCACAUAAAGAGUGAAGGCCACCAUGGAGUGUACAAACUACAUGGUAAUAAGAAGCUGACUUAUGCAUUGAAAUGAGCGUAUAAAGCUUAGCGGUAUAGCAACAAAGACGAAUUUGUAUGUUCUCAGAUGUUGAUACAGUAGUCUAAACGCGAGGUAAUGAGACCAAGCGUAGAGAACGAUUCGGGAUCCUUGACAAAAUGAAAUGAUUUUUUAAGCAUAAAGAAAGGUUUAUUCGAAAUGAAAUAAUUUUUCGGUAUAUUUAAAUGAUUUGAUAUUAUUUUUACAAAAUGAUUAUGAAAAGGUAUUGUGAAAGGUUUUCAUAAAACCUUAAAGGAUUUAAAAAAAAAGUGGACCAUUCAACUUAAUUCCCAUCCACUAUCCUCUUGUCCAACAUGAAACUUUAUCUUAGUAAAACUUCUUGAUCCACUAUUUUACAAAAAUAUUCAAAACAAUACCAUACUACACCAAAUGUGAUAUUUUGGUAACACUUAAAAUGGUCAGAAAUACCAUUUUCCUGACUUUUUUUUCAUCGACCAUUAAAGAAAAAGUAUAGAUGAUGUUUCACAAAAACUUCCAAACCAUUGUGUUAGUUAUCGUUUUGGAUGAGGGUUGGGGUAGAGCAUCAAUACUCAAAGGUUGUUAAGAAUUAAGACCUAAGACUUGAAAACGAAACCGCCUGCCUGGUUGACAACAACACCAUCCCACUAGAGUGCACAAUGAUGAUUUAUUGCAUUAAGAAGAAGAUGGCAGUUAACCUUAGCGCCAUAAUCAGAACCUCAAUCCUCCCUUUGAUGAAAGCACCUAAAGGUGUCAUGCCUUUCCCCUCUACCACAUUGAAGCUCUUUGUCUAACACUACAAGAAAUGAGGACUCUCUCGAUGCAUAAAAUCAUUGGGAGAUAUAUAAAAAGCGUCAGAAAAGGCUUUUCUGACGCACUAAUAUACGUCGGAACACAAGUGAGGAAAAUGUAUCGGGAGAGGAACUCCGAUGCACAAUGUUGUGCGUUGAGGGUUUCUAGACAUCUUCCGACGUUGUAUGAACGUCGAAGAUGUUGUCAAUAUAGCAUCGAGAGAUGUCUAGGAACCAUGCGUCGGGAGAUCCUCUAUUUUUUUUUAAAAAAAAUAACUUCAUUUAAUUCCUAAAUUCAAAUUGAAAAUUUUAAAUUCAAACUCAACUUCAACACUUCAACCUCAACUUCAACACUUCAAUCUCAACUUCAACACUUCAAAUUCAAAUUUCUAAAACCUACAACUAAUUCAAAAUUCUAACAACACUUGAAAUUAAAUUUCAUUACUAAAACUUACAACUAAUUCAAAAUCUAAAUACUAAAGAAAUCUAAAAUCUAACACCUAAAACAAAUUUGAAAUCUAAAUACUAAAACUAAUUAACUAAAACAAAACAAUAACUAAACUAAACCACUUACCGAUGGCGACGACGACGGGACGACAACAGGGACGACAAUGGUGAUGACAAUGCCCUCUUCUUCUCAAUCUUCCUCUCGGUCUCCCUCUCCCUCUCUCAUUUUCUUUCUCUUUAUGUUUCCUUUAUGUAAAGAAUGGAGUUAAAAAAGACAGAGAACUCCUGACGCACGACGAAAACGUCGGGAAUAGCACCCUAUUCAUGACCUGAUUUGUUAAACGUCAGAAAUCCCUAAACAUAUUCCCACGCGAUUAAUGAUACGUCGGGAAUCCCUAAAUCUAUUCUCAACGUUGCUGCCACACGUAAGAGGAAGGCGUUACAUACAAUUAAUGAUCUGCCCUUCCUCCGACGGUUCCUAAGCUUUUAGCUUUUCUGCAAUCACCCCUUAUGCAUGUUCUCAGGCGAAUCUCAACCAAACCAUAACACUCCAUCAAAAUAAAGAAGAAGAGAGACACCUCAAAACCUUAAAUAAAGUUAAGGGAGAAGAAUGGAAUGACAGAGAAGAAGAAGAGGCUUCUCCGCUGCCACCACUACUCAAGAGGAGAAAUGUCCACGAUGACGCGUCUAACUCGUAUAAAAAGGAAAAAAGUCGAAAGCUAGACGUGGCCAUCGACCCUAAACCUCUUGCAAUCUGACCCCUAACUCUCUCAUUGCCUCCUCCAAAAUCCAAAUCCUUCAAUUCCAGUCCUCAUCCAAAAAUUGAAACUCCCCCUCAUCAAUCUUACCCAAGUCCUCUCGCAUGUCUAUUAUCCUCUCACCACCAAAUCCCCCAUCAUUAUAACAACAUCCUUCACCUCACGACCUGACCGAACAAGCCCUUACCCGAUCAAAAGGGCAUUGUUAGCGAAGAAGAAUUCCUUAGGGUUGAGGAGGAAGACCUGCAUCACAUUCCUCUCCCUCCGCACACUACUAUACGUAAUUCCAAGGAGGAAGACUUACAUCUCGCGUGUAAACACCGAUACCCAAUAAUCCUUAAUUCAUCUAAAGAACUCAAUAGGACAUUAGGGGUUGAUGUUAGGAGAAAGAUGGUUUAAGAUUGGAUAGUUUAGUUGAAGUGUUAUGGAAGAUGUGUUAAUAUUUUUAAGAUGAUAAAAGAAAAGUGUCAUCGUAACAAAGAAAGGCCUAAAGGGUGUUCGAAAAUUGGCUAAGUGUUGGCUAGGGCAUGUUGCAUACUCUAGGCGGCCAAAAGUGUCAAGCGAACCUCUAAAGAGACAUGUUGGGUGGCCAAAGGUUGAGAUGUGGUAUGGCCGAAAGGUGUCAAGACAACCUCUAUAAGACAAGGCUAUAUGACCAAGGGUAUGCGCUAGGCAAGGAAGCUAAGCAUCUAGGAAAUGUCAAGAAACUCUAAAGAAGUUAGAACGUGGAUAAGGAAUGUCAUGCAACAAAGAGGUGGGCUAUGUGGACAUAGGUCAUGCGGCCAAUGGGGCAAUUCAACCAAAUGCUAGUCAAGAUGGCAUGGUUUGUUGAAGGCAUUGAGGGAUGUUUGGGAGAUUAGGCGAGAAAAAAAAGUCUUAGGCAUUCUUGGCAGUAAGAAUUUACUAAAGAACCCUCAUAGAAAAAGGGAUAUGCGUCCAAGGAUGACUUAAGCAAUAUGAGGUAAGAUGUGCGGUAGAGUACAAGUGGACAACAUACAAGAUACCUAAGUUUUGCCAAAUAAGUGUCUUGCAUGAGUUGGAAAGUGGCAAGUAUGGGCGUAAGAGGUGAGAAAAAAAGGUUCAACCAAAGAGCAUGCAAGGAUCACUAUAUGUACAACUUUGGACGAAUUAUGUUAACAAUCAACUUGUGUUAAUUGGGUAACUCUACUUCGAAAAUCUCCUAAAUUGAGUGUAGUAUCAAGAGAAAGGCUACCAAGAAGAAAGGCAUUGAAGUGAAGAAAGACUCAAAGGUCAUUUUCAAAAAAAAAAAAAAAAAAACUUGAACAAUGUAGAGUAUUUUGAGCUACAUAACUCAAUACUUGGAAUUUGUUAGUGACACUUUGUGGUAAGCUAGUGAAGACAUUCUAAGUAAGUUUGUAGAAGGAAUCUUAUUGAUUUAAGCUUCAAAGUCGAGUUAAGUUUCUGGUAGAAAAAUCAUAUUUCUAGACAAGGCCAUGGGUGGGUUGAUUGCCAGGAUGACAAGGUGAGAUGAGCGUGUGUUUUGAGCGAAAGAGGUUAUUUAGGCUUGGGACAUGCAAGAAGCAUGUCCUGGCAUGAUCAAGCAGCCUGAGCCACGCGUCAUUACACACUCUAUUAUGAAAGUUGAGUAUAUUGCUACUUGUGAAGCAGCAAAAGAAGCAGUUUUGGUGAGGAAGUUCUUGCAUAAUUUGGAAGUUGUUCCAAACAUGAACAUGCCCCAUCACUUUAUAUUGUGAUAAUAGUGGGGCAUAUUACUAAUCCAUUUACAAAGACUCUCAUGGCUAAAGUGUUCGAGGGUCUUCUAGAAAGUCUAGAUCUGCGAGUUAUGUACAUUAGGUAAUCUAGGAAAAGUGGCAGAUGUGUAAUGGGUAUGAGGAUGCCCUAGUUUAUUGUAUUUGUAUAUACACAUUUUAUGUAAUACACUUGUACAUUUUACCAUUUUCAAUGUUAGAGGAUUACUUUAUUAUGAACAUCCCAAAGAGACGAGAGUUUUAGUCCAAGUGGGAGUUUGUUGGAAUUUAUGUCCUAAAACUCGUAGAUUGUAAAUAUAAUCCAUUGACCAUUGUUAAUAAAGUGUUAUUAUUGUAAUAAUUGUUAUUGAUUAUAUUAUUAGUUUUGUCUUAAUAACUCAAAUCCAAUAAACUAACAUCCUAAACUGUUUAAUAAGUAUUGAAUAGUAUGUAGAGACAUACAGGGAUCAAUGUUCGAGAUCAGCUUAAAGGGUCUAUAGUAUACGGAUAAGACUGGGUACCUUUAUCCUGGUAACAUUAUGAAUACGACUCACUUUGUAUUUGAUACAAAUACAAUGAUCCAAUGUGUUCAUGUAGUUGACAUGCGAGUGAAGGUAUCCUAUGCAAUGAGAUUGCAAUAGACUAGACUGUGAAAUAGUAACCACUUGGUGUUACUACAUUAACUAGUUAGGUUUCUAUUUCACUAGGAUGACCUAGAUAACUUAGUCUUAAUCUUGAGUGUAUUAUGAACUCAAUGAUCUUGGAUGAAUUUGACUUCAAAUACAAACUUGGAUUCCACAACCUAAACCAAAAUAAAAUAAUAUAUCAUGUUAAGAUGGAUUCACAUAGCAACAUUUUAUCAAAUGGUUGCAAUGUUUCAAAUAAGCAACAAUUAAAAUUCACAUAUCGAUUUGGCAUCUAUAAAUAUACAAACUAAAAAGUACCUAAAUGUCAAUUAUUUACCCAAUAAGGCUAACUAAGUAACCAACGUCUAAUAUGUUUUGCAAUGAAAAAGGUUGCCAUAUUGUUAAUUUGGCCAUAUUGUGAAGGCAACCUCUUAGAUGUGUUUGUGAGAAAGGAAAGAAAUACCAAAAUAAGUAUGGACUAAGAUAGUAUCAAAUAAAGUUAAAGUUGAAUUUUAAAGCUCUAUUUUUUUCAAGAUAGAGAAAUUUCAGCUAAAGAGGAAAACACUAAGGACAACCAAGCAAAAAAGUCUAACAAAUAUCAAAAGAGAACAUGCAGGAAAGAAAGAAUGUAAAUAAGGUUUUAUCCGCACCAAGCAAAAAAGUCUAACAAGUAUCAAAAGCUUCAUAAGUUGUACUAGAAUUCAAAGCUCUAAACUCUAAAGAAUGUAAAUUUCUUUGAAGAAAUUUGUGUAUAAAGGUCACACAGUUGAAAAUUCAAUACCUUUUCAAGAAUGUUGUUGAGAAGAUUAUUGUGAUGAAUCUUUGAAUCCAAAUUAUGGAGACAAGAUAAAUAAAUGAGUUCUGAUUCUAACUGACUGAAUGAGAGUUUAGAAAAUAAGAACAUUGGAGUUGAAUUAUCAGCAUUUAUUUUAAUCAAACUUACGAUAGCAAACCAAAUUAUAGAGAGAGAUCAAAUGCUAGGAUAAAGGAAUAAUCUUACAUUUGGUGAGUUCCCAAAUGUUGUGGUAGUCACGAGAGUUAUUCCACUCGAAUUGUCUUAGACAAGAGGCUUCCAUUCAGCAAGUACUGGUGAGAAUUAAAGUGGAAUGACAAACUUAAAAACACCUAAUCUUUAACAAACUUUUCCGACUUUUUGCAAUUAUUUUUUAACACAAGAUAUCAAAACACACUUAAAAACCAUAACAACCAAUUACCAUAAAACGGUGUCCAAUAACAAUAAUUGGGUCAACCCAAACAUCAUCAAAUUCUUGGGAAAGGUUGUGGACUAGACCUUCACCAUCUUGCCCCUAAAACAAGUUAAAGCUUAAGGAAAGAACACAGUAGAAACAAAAAUCAUAAACUCAUCAGUUAGAUAGUAUUGGUGGUCAAAACCUCAAGGUCUCACUUCUUCCAUUUUAUAUUACCAAAUUUGAAAAUGAUUUUUAAUAUAUGAUCAUUACUUGAAACAUGUUGGUGUACAAGUGUGAAUGAAACUAAAUCAAGUUUGUGUUUUAUGUUAUUGUUUUUGACAGUAUAUUUAUGUGCUAUGCAAUCCAUGAGAGUAUAUUUAUGUGCUAUGCAAUCCAGAAGGGGGAAUGCAAGCUAUACCCAAUUCAUAAUUGUAUUUGGAACACUAAUGAUUUUAGCACAAAUUCCAUCUUUCCAUUCUCUAAGACAUAUAAACCUUAUCUCCCUCACUCUAUACCUUGGCUAUAGUGCUCUUGCAACAUAUUAAAAUUCUCGUAAUUAAAAAUUCAUACACAAUUUAAAUUAAAUUAAACAUCAAGACCCCUGACGAAGAUGAAUCUCUGUUCAUUUUUCUUUUUAUUAACAAACAAAAGUUUUUAGGUCAACUUCUUUCAACAACCUCCUCAAGGAUCCUUAAUUAUCUCUUUCCAAGUUCAUAACCACUCUAGUCAUGCAAAGAUUAAGGUUCAUGGCCAAUCAACAAUUAAUCUGUGAUUAAGAUAUUAUGAACGCUAUUCACAUAAAAACAUGAAAAGAUUAAGAGCAAAUAAUCAGAUGCAUUACAAAGAAUAAUUCAUAAACUUUGUCUACAUCUAUCCCUAGGAUUAAGAGUUUAGCUACCCCAUACUUCACAAUCUAAAACACAAAACUCAAUACAAUACCCAUAAAAAAAAUUAAAGGAGAAGAAAAAGAAAACGAAGAAGAAAAGCUAGUGAUUCGUAUUAUUAUAAUACUGUGUAUAACAGUAUGUGUUUUUUAAUAUUCUCUGUUUCCAGCUCCAAUGUACCAAAAUAUUAUCACAAACUCCACAAUCCUUCUCUUUCCAAUCCCUAAACUAACCAAUGAAUCAUAUUCGCACGCUUGGUAGCCUUGUUCAAAAUAUUAUAUAUUACAAUUAUAAUAACUUGUAUCCCCCCUUUUCAAGCCUAAAAUGCAAAACCUUUCUUCCAUUCUCUAAGGCAUAUUUCCUCUUCUUUAAUUUUGCAUUCCAAUUUUAAAUUACAAAUUACAAAUUUUAAUCACAAAGGAAAAAAGGAAAAUUAUUACCUUUAGAAAGGGAAGAAAAUAAAUGAGUAACCAUGAAGGAUUUGGAAACGAAUAGAGGUUUAGCGAAAGUGGAAUGCGACAGAAGGACGGUGAAUGUGUUUACUCGUUUUCGAACAGAGAAUGUGUUUACGCAUUCCGAACGGUGAACAGACGGACGCAAAUCAACGAAGGUGAAGGGAACGCAAAGCAGACGGACGGUGACGGACGAUGAACGCAAAUGAAUGAAGGUGAAUGCUUAUGAACGCGAAGGGAAGUCUUUUCCGGCGAUGAACGCAGAUGAAUGCACAGAUGAACGCGAAGGGAAGGUUAGGUGAACGACGCUUUUGAUUUCGGGUGGAGAAGGGACAAAGUCGCGGCGAAUUAGGUUUAAUUAAGAAAAGGGGAAGUGAUCUAAUUGAAACGUUGGGUUUUGUAAAAGAAUAUUAACACAAUAAUUUUUUAGAAAUUUCUUGACGUUUUUAAAACGUCAAAAACAAAUUAAAAUUUCUUGAACUUUUUAAAACAUCAAUGAUUUUUUAGAAUUAUCUUGACGUUUUAAAAACGUCAAGAAUUUUUUAUAAAUUUCUUGACGUUUUUAAAAAUGUCAAGAACUUUUUAGAAUUAUCUCGACAUUUUAAAAACGUUAAGAAUUUUUAUAAAUUUCUUGAUGUUUUUAAAACGUCGAGGAAAACUAUAUAUUAUUGACGUUUAAAAAACAUCAAGAAAGUUGAAUUCAUAAACAUUCUUGACGUUUUUUAAACGUCAAAAAUUAUUAGAUAUUUCUUGAUGUUUAAAAAACGUCAAGAAAAAGUACAUCUUACUUGACGUUUAAUUGCAUAAAAAACGUCAAGAAAAAACGUCAAGAAAGUUGAAAAUUGGCCUUUCAUAAAAAUUCUUGACGCUUUUUUAUUUGAAAUCACAUCUUUCUUGACGUUUUUGGGAAAAAACGUCAAGAAAGGAAAACUACAACCGUCAAGAGAGCCUGUUUUUGUAGUAGUGAUUUUGGGGACAAGACUGAGUGGGGAGUUGGGAUUAUAAUUGCACAAAAUGGAAUUCACUCAUUUCCUACUGUAGGAUAAGUAGAUGAAUGUUAGCUUAAAUGGUGUCUCCAAAACUUAAACAAAGGGCCCGUACUCUCUCUAUGACAUGAGAGGGGUUUUUGUUUAUUAGUAGGACCAUAAACAAGUUGUUCAUUAGAGGAGCACUAGUUUUUAAGGAUUAGAGGUAACAUAGGGGUAAAGCGGUAAAUUGAUCCAACUGGUGUUACAAACACUCGUGAAGGACUAACUUACUAUUAUUGGUCUAUAUCCGUGGACACAGAAAUAUAUUUUUAGUGAGAAGAGUUCAGUUGUGAGUCUUUAGUGGAGUGUACACACAACUAACGAAUAUUGAUUAAUGUGGUUAAUGAGUUUAGCCAAUUAAUCUUAGAUCGUUGUAGCUUCUGAUCUGUAGGUCCACUAGGUCCCUUUCCUAGCUCGUAAAGGGUAAUGAGAUUUAUUUGUAUUAGUUGUAAUUUAAAAUGUUUAAAUUUAACUUGGGAAUUAGUAUAAUGUAUAGUGAUACAUUAUAAUAUAAAGUUUAUCAAACUUUACUAUAUAAAUUUAACUUUGGGGAUGAUUUAAAAUUAAUUUAUGAGAGAUAAAAUAUUUGAAUGAGUUCAAAUAUUAAUUUAAUGUAAAUUGGAUUCAUAUUAAAAUUAUUGAGAGAAACUUAUAUUUGAAUAUGAUUCAAAAUUAAUUUAAGUUAAAUAUAAGAUAAAUAAUUUAAUGUUAUUAGUUAAUUGGAGAAUUAAUUAAUAGUUUAGUUUAAUAUUAUUUAAUUAAAUGUGAUUUCAUUAAUUAUUAACUAAUUGAUUAAUGUUUAAUUAAUCAGUAGAUUUGAAAUAUAUAUUAAUUUAAUUGUUUGUAAAUUAAUAGAAUCUCAUAGUUCUCUUCUACUUCAUUUUUUAUUCCUAGAAGGAAAGAGAGUUAUAAUAUCUAGAAGAAAACAAUUUUCUUAAAAAAUGAAUAUAAUAAAAAAAGAAAAAAUAAGGCUAACGCUAUUGCUCUUUGCAAAAAGAAAAGAGUUUCUCUCAAUAUCUCUAAACUUUUUCCCAUCCCAAUUGGUUCCACAAACCAAUCUUAUCACAGAGGUACUCUUUGCAAUUUAAGCUCUCUUUGCAAUGGACAGUCUUCAAAGUUUUUUUAACGAUGUUUCUAAUGCUUUCCUUUCUCUCUCAUGUUUAAUAAAACAAAUUUCUCUUAAAACCUGUAGGGAGGCUACAUCGUAUCGAAUUUCAUACAACUGACGUGUUCAUCGAGUUACAACAAGUGCCGCACAAUAGUCUGUUCCAUGUUUGAAAAGUUGUGAGUGUGACACGCUGCACAUGAGGUUAGAACGAGACAUGGCAAGGCAAGCUCUACGCGCACCUGCCAACUUCUGCCACAAUAUUUUGUACGCAAGCUAAUGUCUUUGGGCUGUUUUUAUGGUAUUUGGAAAUUUUAAGCAAAGUUUUGAUAUUUUUAUGAUCAACAGGAAUUAAAUGGAAUUAUUUCCCAUUAUUUUCAUUAUUUUAGAUCAGAAGGAGAUCGAACAAAUUUAUAAGCCAAGGGUCCAAGCUACUCUCUAUAAGUGACAAAAAUGAGUUUAAAGUUGAUUUCUAAACAUGAAUUUACUAUCAAAUGUUUCAAGCAUGCUUUGAUGUUUGAAUAUUUGAGGAUACUGACUUAUAAAGUAUUUCCAAAGCAUGAAUUUAGAAACAUUUUGGUAAUGAAAAUUAUAAGCAAUCAUGAUUGUGCUAAGUUAUCAAAAUGUUUAAGCUUGAAAAUAAUAUUAGCAUGUUUUAGUCUAUACCUAAAAUAUUCUAAGAUAUAUAGCAACCCUUCGGGAGAGAUUUUCUUGUGCAUAGAGGUCAUUUGAUUUGGAUAUUCAGUAAAUACCUAGCUUUCCAUCAUUGGUAUUAGAUAAGAGAUGAAGACUUCUAAAGAUGCUUAGUUUCCCAUCUCAAGGGACGAGACCCUGUACGAAUGCCUAGUUUCCAUCUCAUUGUAGUUAUAACGAGAUAGGGCACAAUUGAUGCCUAGAGUUUCAUCUCGUAAGUAUCGUAUCACGGGAUAGGGCUUCUAUGCCUAGUUUAUUGUUUUUCGUCUUGACGAUUCUAGUAUAGCAACUGAAAGGGAAAGUUUGAGAUAAGUUGUUUGAGUUUGAUUUCAUUUAUGUUAAGAGUUAAUUGUUAAAUACUUAUUAUUUCAAACAAUGUUUUAUAAAACAAUCACUCAUUGGGCUAUUUAGCUCACUCUUUGGAUAAAUAUCCCCAUAUGGAUUACGUUGUUUGGAAAAUUAAACUGUCUUUAGUACUUCAAAGAAAACUUCCCUCCCAUGUCCUCUCACCUCAUGUCAUCCCAUUUGUGUUGAUAACAUGAAAAAUAUUUAGCACCUUUUAAUUGAUUAUGUCUUUGUAUCGAAAUGUUGGUUCCGUCUUCUCCAAACAUUCAAUAUUUGUUGGGAUUUUUUGCUCAAUCAAGGCUUAUUCUUGUUUGUUCUCGACCUGCUACCUAUGAUUUAUGAUUUUGUUUUGGACAUAUUAUUUUAUCAUUUUGUUUGGUUUUAUAUUUGUGGCUUUUUUUUUGUUUUGUUUUGUGUUUUGUUUUUUUUUUUUUUUGAAAAGGAGACAACCUCUUUAUUAAUAUUAAAAUAAUAAAAUAAUUAGACAAAAGCUCAUGGUACAAGAGAGUUAUACAAUGAACAUGUAACCAUGGAUCAGAGGGUGCACCUUGGCAUCUCAACUAGGUUGACACCCCCAUAGCACCCUCAUCAUAUCCAACCAAGCUAAAACCCAUAACAAAGGAGUAAUGUCCAAAGGCAAAACAAACACAAAAAAAGCCUUCUAUUUGUGGCUUUUGUUUUGAUCUUGUGUUGUCGCUUUUUGGAUGUGAUGAGGGCGCUAAGGGGGUGUCAACACUCAAACCUUAUGACGUAACAAAUGCAAAUUUUAUGACGUUUUUAGGGGUAGUCCCUCCCAUUACUAGCUCAACACUCAAACGGAGUCUCCUGUAUAAAAUAUAAAAUAAUACAGACACAAAUAGUGAAUGAAAUCUUAUGACGUAACAAAUGCAAAUUUUAUGUAUACUGCAAUUGACUAAAUAUUGAACAAGAAAGCCCAAGGGAAUACAAAAAAAUCCAACGUUUUUAGGGGUCAAUUUGAAAAAUGGCAAAAUUACUUUUUCUUUUCAAUUUUAGCAAACAACAUUUUUUGCACGUGCAUGGUAUUUUAUAAAAUACCAGAAUAUCAACAUUCUUCAACUGUAGUUAUUUCGUUUCUACAUUGUAAUUAAUUUAUGUUAUGCAUUUAUCAGUUUUUAAUUAUCUUUUACUUGAAAUAGAUACAUCAACUCAUAUCAUAAUAUUUUUCUUAAUAUCUCGAGUCUCAACUAAUUAAUUCACAUAUUAAUAACUUUAUUCAAUCAUACUAAUUUCAAAAUAACCUAAUUGAAUUUGAAUUUCAAAAUAACAAAAUUAUUAUUUUUCGGAAUUUGAGAGUCUCAACGAUAGAUUUUGUAUUAAAAUAACCUUAAUUGAAUUUCAAAAAUAAAAAAUAUCAACAUGUUCACUAUCUUUAUCUCAAAAUAACAUUAAUGCCUUGAAUAUCAAGAUAAUUAAAUUAUUAUUUAAAAUUGGAAGAAACUCAACAUUAAAAAAUAUUAACUUGUUCGCACACAAGCAUAGAAGCACUGCGCACACACGUACACAUGCACACUUACACACACGCGCACACACGCACAUCUACACACAGACACCCACAGACACACGAACGCAUGCACAUACACAUGCACACGCGCACGCAUGCACAUACACAUGCACACGAGCACGCAUGCACACGCACACACCUAUCCACACGCGCGCACAAGCACACACACAUGCACAAACGCACACACGCGUACGCACAAACGCACACACUUAUACACAUACGCACACGCGCACAAACACGCACGCACGAGCACACACACACCUAAGCACACACGCAAUAGCCUGCGCACACACACGCACGCACAAACACAUACAAACAUGCACACACCCACACAUAUAUGCACACGGACACUCGCAACAAACGCACGCACAUACACAUACGCACACCUACCUACACGCACACACGUACACACGCACAUAUGCAUAAAGAUGUAUAAAUGAGUUAAAAUUAAAAAAAAACUACAUUAAUUGUGUUUAGAAGGACUUUUAAACCAUGUUCAUUUGACUUAAUAACAUUAAUUAAACUAUAAUUUCUAUCAAUAUUGGCUUAAAAAGUGUCAUUCGUGUAAUUAUUUCAAUAUAAUGCGAUUUUAUCCAAUUCUAUUUGCAACAAACAGGUCGAAUAUGAACCAGUAGAUAUACAUGUCAUAAGAGAUAUAGGAACAUUUUUAUGGUCAUUUUGAAAAAUGCAAAACUUUUUGUAACGACCCAACUUUUCUAGGUAAGUCGAGGUCAUUAAUUUUUAAUAAAAGACUUUGUUGAUACAAAAUGAAGCGUAAGUCAAUUUAAAAAAAAAUAUGUCAGGCCUGAUUUUCAAAUAUCAAGAAAACUUAAAAAUAACACUAUUUACAAAUAAAAGUUUGUAAACUAAGUUUUUAGUACAUCUUAAACCUUAAAAGAAACAUAAGCGGAAGCAAAAUACACAUUUCCUAUGGCAAUCACGCUUCCUUCCUGCCCCUCGCCGGUUUGCCACCUUUAUUUCCUUUGCCUGAAAAUUAAACAUAAGAAGGGUGAGUAUUUUAAAUACUCAGUAAGAGACCCUAUACUGGUCUCGUCAGGGAAAAUAAAUUGUUAAAGUUCUAUUGGGACACCCUGUACAGUCGCAGUCUUGUGAUCCCGUAGGAUACACAUUCAGUCUAACGCCCCGAAGGACGUACAUAUCAGUCUGACGCCCCGAGGGACGUACAUAUCAGUCUAACGCCCCGAGGGACGUACAUAUCAGUCUAACGCCCCGAGGGACGUACAUAUCAGUCAAGUGUUCUGCAGAAACACAUAUCAGUCAAAUACUCCCGAAGGUGCAAAAUAAAUUGGUGAUCCCGUGGGACACCUACAAGGUAAACAUCCCAAUACAACCUAACAAUUUAUCCCCUCAUUCCAUUCAACCCAUCUUUCAGUUACUUCAAAUCACAAAGUCCUUUCUUUCAACAUCCUAACAGUCAACUUAUUUUACUACAGUCAUAUGUCUGUCAAUAAUAUGCUAAUACAUCAGUCAAUCACUAUACAGUCAAGUCAAUACACCCCUCAGUUCACCAGCACAAACCACAGUUCAGUAUAAUCCACAUCCAACUGAAACAAAUUCACUAGUUCACAUCCAAUCUUUAUACAGCACAAUCUAUUAAUAUCAUCAUGUACACAGAAGCAUAAUUUCAGUCAUUCACAUGUAUACUUUCGGCAAUCCACAUCAAUUCACACAUCAAUGUAUAUAUAUAUGUUUCCAGUCAAAUACAACAUACACUAAACAUUUAGUCUGCAAUCAAACAUGUACAUCUUAAUCAUCAUCCAUACAGUCCAACACAACUCAAAAACUUUAGGUAAGUCCAGUAGAAAAUCCCUUACCUCACUUUUAUGCAAGUUCUUCAAUCUACUAAAUCCAAUGAAUCAAAUCCUAAACAUAAUCAAUCAUAAAAUCAACAUCUUUCUAAAUAGUUUCAACCAUUCAAAUUACCCCAUAUGUAAAUUCCACAACUUACCCAAGAAGUGGAAAAUCAAGUCCACUUCAACCUUUUGGAAAAUCAAGGAUUCGCUCACUGAAUCAAGAUGUACCUUCAAGAAUUAAGCAUUUCGCCAACAAUUAAAUCCAAUGGCAGCAUCCAACAAAAACCAAGAAACCAACAAAAACCAUAACUUGUUCUUACCCAAAUAUGAGCCCAAUGGUUCACGGCGAGGCAGAUCUGGACGACGAUUUGCUUUGCGAGGGAGGCACGACGGUUGUGAGCGAGAGGCACGACGGUUACAGGCGGAUGGGCGCGACGGUUUAGAUCUGAAGAAGAAAAGAGAGGGUGGCGGUUGGGUUCGGCGAGCGGCGGCGGUUUUGCUUCGCGAACGGAGAUGGAGACGGCAAUUCGGCGCGCGGGACGACUGCAACGCAAAUCUGGACUGGCAGCGGCACGGUCUUGCUUCGCGGCUGGGUAUGGUGAAAAAGAAAGAGAAACGGAAGAAGAGAAGUCUCGGGUGGCGGUUGCUGGGCUACGGCGGUUGCUGGGCUGCGGCGGAAGGAGAAAAUGGAAGGAAGAGAUCGGCGGAAAGAAGGAGAAGAUGGAUGGGAGUCACGAUCGCACGGGAAGAAGAAGGGAGAAAAGAAAAGAAAAGAAAAGAAGAAAAGAAAAAUAAUAAAGAAAUUUUUAAUAUAAAGUAAAAUAAAAAUAUAUAUAUAUAUAUAUAUAUAUAUAUUACCUUUUUGGGCAUUACAUUCUUCCCUCCUUAAGAAACUUUCGUCCUCGAAAGUUCUAAUCCUGAAAUAACUCUGGAUAACGAGUCCUCAUUUCUUCCUCUCGCUCCCAUGUCGCCUCUUCAAUUCGAUGAUUCCGCCACAAAACCUUUACUAAUGGAAUGCUUCUAUUACGAAGCAUCUUUACCUCUCUAGCCAAAAUCUCCACAGGUUGUUCAACAUAGCUCAAAUGCUCGUCAAUCUCCAAGGUUCAUAGUCCACUACAUGAGAUGUAUCGGCCACAUACUUCCUCAACAUCGAAACAUGGAAAACAUUAUGAACUGCAGAGAGAGAUGGUGGUAAUGCCAAGCGAUACGCCACAACACCAACCCUCUCUAAGAUCUCAAAUGGUCCAACAAAACGAGGACUUAACUUUCCCUUCUCAAAACGCAUAACACCCUUCAUAGGUGCUACCUUCAAGAAUACCUUUUCUCCCACAUCGAACUUAAGGUCUUUUCGCCGUACAUCUGCAUAACUCUUCUGUCUACUCUGCGCUGUUUGCAUACGCGUCCUAAUCGUUUGAAUAGCCUCAUUAGUAGACCGAACUAAUUCAGGUCCCAUCAAUCUAUGUUCACCAACCUCACUCCAACAAACAGGGGUUCUACAACAUUUGCCAUACAAAGCCUCAAAUGGUGCCAUACCGAUGGUAGCCUGGAAACUGUUGUUAUAAGCAAACUCCAUCAAAUGUAGAUGAGAGUCCCAACUACCUGGAAACUCUAUAACACAAGCUCGUAGCAUAUCCUCUAAAACUUGGUUCAAACGUUCAGUUUGACCAUCAGUCUGUGGAUGAAAGGCUGUACUGAAAUCCAAUCUCGUACCCAUAGCAGUCUGAAGUCCCUUCCAAAACUUGGAAGUAAACCGUGCAUCCCUAUCAGAAACAAUCGAUACAGGCACUCCAUGCAGUCUCACAAUCUCAGUUAAAUACAACUCUGCCCACUUACUAGCAGUAUAAGUGGAUUUUCCUGGUACAAAAUGUGCCGAUUUCGUAAGCCUGUCUAUGACAACCAGAAUCACUGUGAAACCCUUCAGGGUCUUAGGCAGCCCUGAAAUAAAAUCCAUCGACACAUUCUCCCACUUCCACUCUGGCACACUUAAGGUUGUAAUAAACCUGCUGGUUUCUGUCUAGGUGCCUUAACUUGCUGACAUACUAGACACUUACUAACAAAUUCCGCCACUUCCCUUUUCAUAUUCCGCCACCAAUAAAAUCGUUUUAGAUCCUGAUACAUUUUCGUGCUACCAGGAUGCAUGGAAAAUGGGGAAUUAUGGGCUUCAUCUAGUAAGUCAAUCUUAACUGUACUGUUCGCUGGCACACAUAAACGUCUCUCAAACAUCAACCCACCAUCAGAGGAUAUGGAGAACUCAUCAGUCUGCCCUGUUUCAACAAGGCGACGUCUCUCCAUCAAAUAAGGAUCAUUACUCUGAGCAUCAACAAUCUUGUGCCUCAGAGUCGGUUGCACCGUUAAUUGAGCUAGCUGUGAGGUGACUCUCCCCACAGACACUGCAAUCUCAGCUCUCUCCAAGUCUCGAUGCAAUGGUACCUGUCUAGUAAUGAGUGCUGCCGAAUGUGAUACUUUUCUACUAAGAGCAUCAGCCACCACAUUCGCCUUACCAGGAUGGUAUAAUAUCUCACAGUCAUAAUCUUUUACCAACUCGAGCCACCUUCGCUGUCUCAUAUUCAACUCCUUCUGAGUGAAGAAGUACUUUAGGCUCUUAUGGUCAGUAAAGAUUUGUAUCUUUUCACCGUACAAGUAAUGUCUCCAUAUCUUCAAUGCAAAAACCACUGCUGCCAACUCCAAAUCAUGUGUGGGGUAGUUCUGCUCGUGACUCUUCAACUGACGAGAGGCAUAAGCAACCACCUUACCUUUCUGCAUCAAAACACAACCCAGUCCUUUCUUGGAAGCAUCACUGUAAAUCACAAAACUUCCAGAUCCAUCUGGUACAGUAAGGACCGGUGCAGUAACUAACCUUUGCUUUAAGUUCUGAAAACUAUCCUCACAAGCUGGACUCCAAACAAACGGAGUUCCCUUCCUUGUCAACUGAGUCAAAGGAGUAGCCAAACGUGAAAAAUCCUCCACAAACCUCCGGUAAUACCCUGCUAAACCCAGAAAACUACGAACCUCACUAACUGUGAGGGUCGAGACCAACUGGUAACCGCUUCUAUCUUUGCAGGGUCUACUGAAACUCCCUCACUGGAAACCACAUGACCAAGAAAAGCCACCUGCUUCAACCAAAAUUCGCACUUAGAACUUAGCAUACAGUUUAUUGACUCGAAGAGUCUCUAACACCUUAUGUAAGUGUUCCUCAUGUUCGGCUUCAGUCUUGGAAUAAACCAAAAUAUCAUCAAUGAAGACUAUCACAAAAGUGUCCAAGAAAUCCUUAAACACCCUGUUCAUCAAAUCCAUAAAUACAGCAGGUGCAUUAGUCAAACCAAAAGACAUUACUAUGAAUUCAUAAUGUCCAUACCUCGAACGAAAAGCAGUCUUAGGAAUAUCACGGUCUCUAAUCCUCAACUGGUGAUAACCUGACCGUAAGUCAAUCUUAGAGAACACCGUGGCUCCCUGUAACUGAUCGAACAAAUCAUCGAUUCUGGGUAAAGGAUACCUGUUCUUGACUGUUACUUUAUUCAACUCUCUAUAGUCAAUGCAAAGACGCAUCGACCCAUCCUUCUUCUUCACAAACAAUACUGGUGCACCCCAAGGUGACACACUAGGUCGAAUAAAGCCUUUGUCAAGCAAUUCCUGUAACUGUACCUUCAGUUCUUUCAACUCAGCAGGAGCCAUCCUAUAAGGGGCUCUAGAAAUAGGAGUAGUGUUUGGCUCCAACUCAAUGGCAAAAUCAAUCUCUAUGUGGCGCAGUCCUGGAAGAUCUUUUGGAAAUACAUCUGGGUAUUCUCUUACCACAGGUUCUGAAGUUAAAGAAGUCUCACCUUCCCUAGUAUCCACCACACUUGCCAAAAUACUCCAAGUACCCUGGCUGAGUAGUUUACUAGCUUUCAUAGCUGAGAUUACUUUAGGCAGUACUACUGUUCCUACUCCCUUGAAUUUAAAGCUAGAUGCAGUAGGGGGACUAAACACAACUUCCUUACGAGAACAAUCAAUACUAGCAUGAUUAGUAGCUAGCCAAUCCAUACCUAAAAUUACAUCAAAGUCACGCAUAUCUAAUACCAACAAGGUUACGUCCAGCACACGACCAGCUAUCUCAAUUUCACAUGCUUUAAUCUUUUCCUUAGACAACAUAAUUUCUCCAGACGGUGUAGACACUGACAAAACAUAGUCUAAGGGUUCCACCUCUAAGCAUGCAUGCGUCACAAAAAGCGAUGAAAUAAAUGAAUGAGAAGAUCCCGAGUCAAACAAGGUCAAGGCAAAAUGCCCUAAUACUGGUAAUGUACCUGUCACUACUGUGCCGGCCUUCUCUGCCUCUGAUCUAUUAGUGGCAAAGAUUGUACCCCGCUGUGGAGGUCUCUCUCCCUGACUGCUCGAUCCAGCCCCAGUAGAUCUCAAGGGACACCUAUCAGCCAUGUGUCCCUCUUGCUUGCACUUAUAACAGACUCUCGUUCCCAUCAAACAACGACCCAGGUGGCGUUUCCCACACGUAUUACAUACUGGCCUCUCUUGAGUAGUGUCUCCUGCACCGCCAGAACUCUGCUGGAAACUGCGAAAAGAAUCACCUGGUCUCAUGUUCCUCUGAGGAACUCCUACAGUUCUCUGCUCUACUUUUCUCUUUUGACCGACGACGAUCCCUUAUUAAAGCUCCUUGGCUGUCUUUCAUCCUUCCCAAUACUCAUAUCCACUGCCAGACGCAGUGCUUCAGCUUGGGUAGUGGGCUUUAGUGCUCGCACAAAACCCCUAAUUUCAUCUCUCAAUCCCUUGACGAACCUAUCAGCUCUAGCCUGCUCAUUACUAACAAGCUCAGGGGCAAAACGUGACAGCAUAUCAAACUCCUGGUCGUACUCCUCGACUGUCAUAUAUCCUUGCUUCAACUCCAAGAAUUCCUGGCUUUUGGCGUCUCUAAGGUUAGCCGAGAAAAACUUGGUAUAGAAGCAGUUCUUAAACUGAUCCCAGGUAAUUUGCCUCACAUCUCCACCUAGCAUGCGCAUUGUAGUCCUCCACCAGAUAAUGCCUCUGUCCCUCAGUAGAAAAGCAGCACACUGAACUCUGUGCUCCUCGGACAUCUCAUGUAAUUAAAUAUGGUUUCCACAGAGGACAACCACAUUUCAGCUUUAGUAGGAUCCUCCAGUGACCCAUCAAACGUCUGAGGGUCAUACUUCCGAAAGUCCCUCAAAUGUUUCGCCUCAGCAGAAAGUUGGUUAGGUAAUUCUUGUGCAGGAGGGGCUGCUGGUGCAGGGGAACUACAGGUGCAGGUGGAACCAGGUGCCUGCUGGUUUUGAGCUAUAGCUGUCAUAAGUUCUGUAAACCUCUGCUCCAUGUGAGCAGACAGUGCAUCAAACUCAACGUGAGUCACGGGUGCAGCAGGAAUUCGCUGUUCAGCUUGACCCUCAGUAGGCUGAUUACGACCUGCUCCUCUACCUCGGCCUCCUGCUCUCUACGACCUCCUCUACGUACUUCUUCCCUUGGCGGCAUAAUUCCUAUUACCACCAACAACACUCUUUAACAAAAUCUUAAUCAUAAACAUAAGCAAGUCUUUAUCGUCAUGCAAUCUAGUUUAAUUUAGGCAAGGUCAUGCAAAUAAACCAUACAUAUAAGCAUCAAGCAUACCUGACGAGAGACGAAGGGUCGCGUUAGCCAUAGGAACACAAAAACAUAGACUUACAUCGUAAGUCAGUCUACAGAACCUAAAACUUAGGCUCUGAUACCAACUGUAACGACCCAACUUUUCUAGGUAAGUCGAGGUCAUUAAUUUUUAAUAAAAGACUUUAUUGAUACAAAAUGAAACGUAAGUCAAUUUAAAACAAUCUAUGUCAGGCCUGAUUUUCAAAUAUUCAAGAAAACUUAAAAAUAACACUAUUUACAAAUAAAAGUUUGUAAACUAAGUUUUAGUACAUCUUAAACCUUAAAAGAAACCAUAAGCGGAAGCAAAAUGACACAGUUCCUAUGGAAUCACGCUUCCUUCCUCCCCCUCGCCGGUUUGCCACCUUUAUUUCCUUUGCCUGAAAAUUAAACAUAAGAAGGGUGAGUAUAACAAUACUCAGUAAGAGACCCUUACUGUCUCCGUCAGGGAAAAAUAAUUGUUAAAGUUCUAUUGGGACACCCUGUACAGUCGCAGUCUUGUGAUCGCGUAGGAUACACAUUUCAGUCUAACGCCCCGAAGGACGUACAUAUCAGUCUAACGCCCCGAGGGACGUACAUAUCAGUCUAACGCCCCGAGGACGUACAUAUCAGUCUAACGCCCGAGGGACGUUCAUAUCAGUCUAGUGUUCUGCAGAAACACAUAUCAGUCAAAUGCUCCCGAAGGUGCAAAAUAAAUUGGUGAUCCUGGGACACCUACAAGGUAAACAUCCCAAUACACAACCUAACAAUUUAUCCCUCAUUCCAUUCAACCCAUCUUUCAGUUACUUCAAAUCACAAAGUCCUUUCUUCAACAUCCUAACAGUCAACUUAUUUUACUACAAUCAUAUGUCUGUCAAUAAUAUGCUAAUACAUCAGUCAAUUCACUAUACAGUCAAGUCAAUACACCCCUCAGUUCACCAGCACAAACCACAGUUCAGUAUAAUCCACAUCCACACCGAACAAAUUCACUAGUUCACAUCCAAUCUUUAUACAGCACAAUCUAUUAAUAUCAUCAUGUACACUAAGCAUAAUUUCAGUCAUUCACAUGUAUACUUUCGCAAUCCACAUCAAUUCACACAUCAAUGUAUAUAUAUAUGUUUCCAGUCAAAUACAACAUACACUAAACAUUUAGUCUGCAAUCAAACAUGUACAUCUUAAUCAUCAUCCAUACAGUCCAACACAACUCAAAAACUUUAGGUGAGUCCAGUAGAAAAUCCCUUACCUCACUUUUAUGCAGUUCUUCAAUCUACUAAAUCCAAUGAAUCAAAUCCUAACAUAAUCAAUCAUAAAAUCAACAUCUUCUAAAUAGUUUCAACCAUUCAAAUUACCCCAUAUGUAAAUUCACAACUUACCCAAGAAGUGAGAGAAUCAAGUCCACUUCAACCUUUUGGAAAAUCAAGGAUUCGCUCACUGAAUCAAGAUGUACCUUCAAGAAUUAAGCAUUUCGCCAACAAUUAAAUCCAAUGGCAGCAUCCAACAAAAACCAAGAAACCAACAAAAACCAUAACUUGUUCUUACCCAAAUAUGAGCCCAAUGGUUCACGACGAGGCAGAUCUGGACGACGAUUUGCUUUCCGAGGAGGCACGACGGUUGUGAGCGAAGAGGCACGGCAGUUACAGGCAGAUGGCGCGCGACGGUUUAGAUCUGAAGAAGAAAGAGAGGGUGGCAGUUGGGUUCGGCGAGCGGCGGCGGUUUUGCUUCGCGAACGGAGAUGGAGACGGCAGUUCGGCGCGCGGGACGAUGCAACGCAAAUCUGGACUGGCAGCGGCACGGUCUUGCUUCGCGGCUGGGUAUGGUGAAAAAGAAAGAGAAACGGAAGAAGAGAAGUCUCGGUGCGGUUGCUGGGCUACGGGCGGUUGCUGGGCUGCGGCGGAAGGAGAAAAUGGAAGGAAGAGAUCGGCGGAAAGAAGGAGAAGAUGGAUGGAGUCAGAUCGCACGGGGAAGAAGAAGGGAGAAAGAAAAGAAAAAGAAAAAGAAGAAAAAAAAAUAAUAAAGAAAUUUUAAUACUAAAGUAAAAUAAAAAUAUAUAUAUAUAAUAUAUAAUAUAUAUAUAUAUAUUUACCUUUCUUUGGGCAUUACAUUUUUUUUUUAAUUUUAGCAAAUAACAUUUUUUGCACGUGCAUAAUAUUUAUAAAAUACCAAAAUAUCCACAUUCUCCAACUAAAAUUAUUUUGUUUCUAUGUUGUAAUUAAUUUAUAUUAUGCAUUUAUCAACUUUUAAUUAUUUUUUACCUGAAAAAAGAUACAUAAACUCAUAUAUAUACUUUUUUCUUAAUAUCUCGGGACUCAACUAAUGGAUUCAAGACUUUAACUUUAUUUAAUCUUACUAAUUUCAAAAUAACCUAAUUGAAUUUGAAUUUCAAAAUAACCAAAUUGAAUUUCAACAUAACAAAAUUAUUAUUUUUCAAAUUUGAUAAUCUCAGAAAUAGAUUUUGUAUCAAAAUAACUUUAAUUGAAUUUCAAAAUUAAAAAAUAUCAACUUAUUCACUCUUUAUCUCACAAUAAUAUUAAUGGCUUGAAUAUCAAGAUAAUUAAAUUAUUGUUUUUAAAAUUGGGAGAAACUCAACAUUAAAAAAUAUCAACUUAUUCACACACAAUCACACGCGCACACACAUACAUACACUUGCACGCACGUGCACCCAUACACGCACACACACACGCGUGCACACACACACACACACACAAACGCACACAUGCACACGCACACCAAACCGCACGCACACAAAUACACACACACACGCACACUAAUGGUUCAAUUUCAUCGAUUGUUCCUAUUUUUCUGACAGUUUAUUUUUGCCAUCGAUAGAGGAUCUUCCGACAGACCUGCGUGACGGUGUGUGUUGACAGCUUAAUUUCGUUGGCAAAAGAAAAGUCGAUUAGUUUUUGAAGAUUUACUGACGAUAUUUGUCAUCGACAAAGGGUAAAUUUCUUGUAGUGCAUGUACAUCAAACAUAUCAAAUUUGUUAAGUGUACCAAUGAAGUAUAAGAAGUUUAUUAGUGGUGUAUCAAGCGUAUCAAACUUAUAAGUGAAGUCUUUAAGUGUAUCAAACUAAUCAAGUGUAUCAAGGUCUCAGGGUAUCAAGUGUAUCAAGAAGAAUCAAGUGUAACGAGAAGUAUUAUGUGGAACGAGAAGUAUUAUGUGUAUGAAGAUGUUUCAGGUGUGUAUCAAAAAGUAUCGAGUGUAUCAAUGAGUACCGAGUGCAUGAAUUGUAUCUAUCAAAUGUAUCAAGUGUAUCAGUAAGAAAUAUCAAGUGUAUCAAGCGGUAUUAGGUGUAUCAGACGUGUAUAAGGUGUAUCAAAUGUACAUCAAUAACGAGGGCAUUUGUGACAUUUUACCUCUUGAUGUGUGAGUUGGUCUUUGUUUUUGUCAUUUUCUCAAAUAAUAAAGUAUGUGUUCUAUGAACUUAAUUAUUAUAACUUACACUACUACAAAAACAGGCUCUCUUGACGUUUGCAGUUUUCCUUUCUUGACGUUUUUUUCAAAAAACGUCAAGAAAGAUUUCAUUUUUAAUAAAAAACGUCAAGAAAUUUUUUGAAACAUCAUUCUUGACGUUUAUUAAAUGUCAAGUAAAAUAAAUUUUUCUUUGACGUUUUUAAAACAUCAAGAAAUAUCUAUUAAUUUUUUGACGUUUUAAAACGUCAAGAAGCGUAUGAAUUCGACAUGCUUGACGUUUCUUAAACGUCAAGAAUUUAAAAUUUUACUCGACGUUUUAAAAACGUCAAGAAAUUCAUAAAAUAUUCAAGAAUAUUUUUUAAAUUACACUGAGAAGGUAUCGAAUUUUAAUUUUCAGCUCUAACAUUUUUCCUAAUCUACUUUUUUCUUCUUCACGACUGAGUAUUCGAGGGAGUCAUUUUUUGAAUUUGUUGACAUUUUUUAAACGUUAAGUAAGAUCAUUUUUUUUUUUACAUUUUAAAAAUGUCAAGUGUUAUUAAAUAAAUAUAAAAAAUAUAUUGGGCUAAUUUUAUUUCUUUAAAAUCUCUUUAAAUAUAUAGAUACAAUAAUAAAAAUCUCUUUAAAUAUAUAGAUACAACAAUAAAAAUUUCUUUAAAUAUAUAUAGAAAAAAAAUAUUGUACUAAUAUUAUUCAGAAUCACUUUAAAUAUAUAUAGAAAAAAUUAUUGUGCAAAUAUUAUUUUUUAAAAAGCCCUAGCCCCUUUCUACUCAAAACACGCGUGUUCCCCUUUCCCUCUCCAGCCGAAAUCCUUCCCAUUCGAAAAAAGUGUGUUCAGCAGUCGUCGUUCGCUUUCAACGCCUAUCCGUUCGCCUUCAACGUCUGUCCGUUCGAUUUCACCGUCGAGUUCCACCUCUUCGAAUCCCUCACGUCCGUCGUUUCAAAGUCCUUCGUCCGCUGCAUUCCAUCUUUCCAAAAUCCCUCAGUGCCUCACGCUACUGCGUGCCCGUCAUUUCGACUUCACCAACGAGUGCCUCACGUUCGUUGCUUCAAAAUCCAUCAUCCACUAAGUUGAGGUUAGGCUUUUAUUUCCCUAAAACAUAUAACAAUUUCAUUAUUCUUCAUUAUAUAAACUCAGAUGGCAUGAUUGGCAAUAAUAGAUAGGAAGGAUGGAGGUGUAAACUUCGAAUUGAUUGAAAUUCGUAUACUUUUAUUCAAUCUUUAAAGUACUGUAGUUUUUCUUCACCAUCAAAUUUUAUUAGGAUUUAAAGAAAACAAAUGAAUGUAUGAACAAAUUUUUGGGAGUGCAUGUCAUAUAAUCAACUUCCCUCUUUCAGUAAUUUUGAAGAUCUCAUAUAACAAUACUACUAAUUGAGAGCUUUGGAGGAUGAGUCAAUUCUUCUCCCUUCGUGAAAAGAAAAAGAAAAAAAGAUCAUGUAUUCUCUUUGUUUGUUACCUUAUGUUGUCCAAGGUUUUGCCUUCUUCCUUAAUAAUUUGGAGGUGUUUUAACUAAUUUUUUCAUUCACCCUCUUUUUGCCAUAGUUGCUUUUGUGUGCAGCUUGAGAUUUUUAAUUCAAUUGUGUGUUUUUACUUUUUUCUAUUGGGUGAAUUCUGUUUUGACUUUUUUUAAGCUAAAUAUAAUUAAUUGUUUCCUAUGGAACCAUAACCUUGAUCUUGGUUAUAGAUUUCAUUUUAAGGUAAAAGUAAAACACUCUUAUUUGAAUGAUUAUGUUGUAUUAUCCAUUGAAAGACUUGGUGUUGUAAUUGCCUUGUCUUCCUCAGGUAUUCUGUUGUAUGGUUGAUUACGAUCUUCAUGAUUGGAAUCUUUGUUUAGUGAAGCUCAUUUUGUUUGAUUUACUCAGUCGUGCAAUUGCUUUCUUUUUUAUGAUCACUUUAAAAAAGAAAUGAGUUUAGUUAGUUCUUUUAAUUUUCUUAAGUUUCAUUUGUAAUGCAUGAAAAUCUCUUAGCAGUAGAAACUGAAGACCAUAAUUGUAGAAGAUUUGUAUAGAUUGGAUUCACAUUCUCAACAUUGGUUAUACAGGCAUUACUUAUCAUUGUCCUUCCACUUUAAUUAUCAAUAGUGACAAUAACUUUAUUUCUCAUUAGAUUUACAAUGAUGGAUAAAUCUUGGAUGCACAAGAGUAGAUUGUCUAAAGAUUAUGAGUUGGGUGUGGAAAACUUCAUCAAAUUUGGAUUUUCUAAUACAACUAGCUCCUAUAUUCGUUGUCCUUGUUUGAAAUGUGGGAAUUGUGAAAAACAUAGUAGAAAGGGUGUUAGAGAUCACUUGUAUGUUAAUGGUAUUGAUGAAAGUUAUAAAUUUUGGUUUUGGCAUGGGGAAGAACUUCCUAACUCAUCCUUCUAUGAUGAAUCUUCAAAGUUUGACACCCAUACAUGUGAAGAUCAGGAUGUUGGAAGUGUAAAAGAAAUGAUUGAAGUUGCUCAUGAGGAGUAUUCAAAAGACCCAACUGGAUUUGAGAAGUUGCUUAUUGAUGCUGAAAAACCAUUGUACGAAGGAUGCAAAAAGUACACAAAGUUGUCUACUCUAGUCAAAUUGUAUAAUUUAAAAGUUAGGUAUGGAUAGAGUGAUACUAGUUUUUCAGAAUUACUUGAAACUUUGAAGGAAAUUCUGCCUAAUACCAAUGAGCUCCCGAAUUCAUUGUAUGAAGCAAAGAAAACAUUAGGUGCAUUAGGAAUGGAAUAUGAAAAGAUUCAUGCAUGCCCGAAUAAUUUUGUCUCUAUAGAAAAGAAUUUGCUAAUGCAAUUGAAUGUCAUGAAUGUUGUCAAUCAAGGUGGAAAAACGUCAAGGAUACAAAUGAAAGGAGAAAGCAAAUUCCCUCUAAAGUGAUAUGGUACUUUCCAAUCAUUCCACGAUUUAAAAGGCUAUUCAGAAGCAUUGAAUGUGCUGAAAACUUGACUUGGCAUUCUACUGAAAGAAUUAAUGAUGGUAAGUUACGACAUCCAGCCAGACUCUCCAGCAUGGAAGUUAGUAGACAUGAAAUGGCAAGACUUUGGUUCUGAACCCAUAAAUCUUCGUUUAGCAUUGUCAGCCGAUGGAGUAAAUCCUCAUGGUGACAUGAGUUCUAAAUACAGUUGUUGGCCGGUAGUGAUGGUUAUUUACAAUCUUCCACCAUGGUUGUGUAUGAAAAGAAAGUACAUGAUGCUAUCAAUGCUAAUUUCAGGACCAAAACAACCAGGGGAUGACAUAGGCAUAUACUUAGCACCACUAAUUGAAGAUUUAAAACUUUUAUGGGAAAGUGGUGUUGAAUGUUAUGAUGCUUAUCGAGAAGAACCAUUCAACUUAAGGUCAGUUUUGUUGUGGACAAUCAAUGAUUUUCCUGCAUAUGGUAACCUUAGUGGAUGUUGUGUGAAAGGGUAUAAAGCAUGCCCAAUUUGUGGAGAUAAUACAAAUUCUAUAAGGUUAAAGUAUGGGAAGAAAAUGGCAUACCUUGGACAUCGUAGAUUUUUGGCACGAAAUCAUCUGUAUCGACGACAAAAGAAGUCAUUCAAUGGUAAAAAAGAACUUGAUACAAUUCCAGAGCCACUUUAUGGGGAGGAUGUGUAUUUAAAAUUGAAAGAUCUUGAAUUUUCUAGAGGGAAGAAGAACCAUAAGAAACGGUUGAUGAACAGAAGUGACAAAAUUUGUUGGAAUAGAUUAUCUUCUUUUUUUGAGUUGCCAUACUGGAAGGAUCUUCAUGUUAGACAUUGUUUAGAUGUGAUGCACAUUGAAAAAAAUGUUUGCAUGAAUAUCUUAGGUACAUUUCUUGAUAUUCCUGGAAAAAGUAAGGAUGGAUUGAAUGCUAGACGCGAUUUAGUUGAUCUAAAACUUCGACCAGAGCUUGCCCCUAUCAGAAUAUGUUACUCCUACUAAUUACUUUCAUUAUGUAAAAAAGACAUCUAAACGUGAGGAUGAGAUUAUACUUGAGAAUAAAGAACUUCGAAGGCGUGUAAGCGAAUUAGAAGCACAUAACCACUCAAACUUGUCUAGACCAUUAUCUGGACAUGGUAGCUGUUCGAAGCCAAAUAUCUUAGAAGAGAGUGACUCGAUGAAAAUAAUCAAAGGGAAGAGUAAGUUGAUGGAUAAAAUCGAAGGGAAAGAGGUGGAGGAGAUCAAUGUAAAUGACGACAAAGUAGAGUUGGACAUCUUUAAGGUAUGUGAUCGAUCCUCUAAUAAACUCAAAUUCUUAAUAUUCAUAUCAUAUUGAAAGUGAAUGUUUUUCUUGAAUUAGGAGAGAGCCUUAAUAAAAAUGACUAAGGAAAAAGAGGUUGUCUGUGAAUCGACGUCAGUUUUGCCAAUGGGAAUGAAGUUGAUUCUCAUAUACGUUGAGAAGAUAAUGGAGAAAGAUUCUAGUAUCACUAUUCCACUACUGUUGGCAUUUUUGGUAUUAGUCGAAAGACUUCUGUUCUCCGAGAGGACAUCAUUGAUCUUUGUAACAUGAAUGAGGUCAAAACAUUUACAUUGGUGGCCUAUAUGACGUAAGUAUCAAUUUCAUUUCUUUAGAUCUAAAUUUAUGUAUCUCGUUUACAAGUUUAUAAUAUUUUGUAGGUACUUGUAUUCAUCUGUUCUUGGUUCGAAGGAAACUAUACAGUAUGUCUUUGUAGAUCCAUCCCUCACCUCUGUCGGACACUCGCAAGAAUCUCGAGUUCGACACUUAUGCAGUAGAUUGAUGGUCUCAAAGAUUAACGAAAUAGUUCUUGCUCCUUUUAAUCCUGGGUAAGUCAAGUUAUUUUAUUACUUGCAUUGCAAAAAACUAGUACUAAUAUUUUGUAUAAUUAGGGGUCAUUGGGCACUGCUGGCCAUAAAUGCAUAUGAUGAUAUAGUAUUUUACCUCGACUCACUAAGGACAACAUCGAAGUCAACUAUAAGAUACGUCACCGACACGUAAGUUAAUCUAGUAUUUCAUUUAGUGUUGAUUCUUAUAUGCAUGUACACAAUAUUUAAACUAUUUGUUCAAUCUUAUCUUGUCAAAACAGAGCAAUAGCGAUGUUUCAGUCACAAAAGAACAUUAAAAAAAGUAGAAAACAAACUUUAUGGCUAACAGUAAAGGUAAGUAUCAACUUUUAAAGUCAUUAAAUUUUUGUAGACUACUAGCAAUUAGGAUUACUUUGUUAUUCAAAUUUGUUGCUUUUAUAUAGUGUCCACUGCAAGGAAGUAUUGAGUGUGGAUACUAUGUGAUGAGGUAUAUGAGAGAAAUUGUGACUAGGGGAAGCAUUGUCAUAUCCGAUGCGGUAUGUUAUAUAUCAAACUAUUGGUUUUGUGAGUUAAUUGGUUUAUUUGUAUAGUCAGUUAAUUCAUUUAAUUUAUUUUGUAUGUUUAUUGAUUGAUACACGAAGAUCAUACUCACAGGCAGAACUACACGAGGUGCGAGUUGAGUUAGCUGACUUUUUGGGUUCUUACAUAUGAUUAUGACCAAUAUUUUGUGAUUCUGAAGUAGGAAAUUUUUUGUUGUGUCGCUUCUUUAUGACCCUAAACUUUAUGUAUAGAAACUUUAGCCGAUAAUUCUUUUGAAUUGUUCAUAUGGAGGAAGGGGGGAGGGGGGUUCAUUCGUAUAUAUUUUUAUUAUUGUUAUAGCUAGCAUGUUUUGUGACUUUUUAAGUUGAUUUGGAUUCAUGGCAAUGUAAUGCCAUAUGAAAUCUAAUGUAAAGCCUAUUUCAUUAUGUAUAUGUAAAGUCUUGGAAUUGAAUAUAUAUGGUGAAUGGUUUUAUUUAUAUAUGUUUGAGAUUUGAAACUAUAUUUGAUGAAUAUCAAAUAUCUAUGAAACUGUUGUGGACAAUUACAGGAUAAUUACAGGACAAUCAGAAUAUAUUUCUUUCCAUUACAGCAUAAUUCAAUUACAAUUUCUUUUUUUAAAAAAAAUUAAAAAAUGCUUGACGGUUUUAAAAUGUCACGAACAAUUGCAAGCUUGACGGUUUUAAACUGUCAUGAACAAUUGCAUUUUUACGGUUGACAAAUGUCAAAACAAUUACAUUCUUGACAGUUUUAAAAUGUCAUGAAUAGUAAAAUUCUUGACGGGUUUAAAAUGUCAUAAACCAGUUCAUCCUUGACGGCUUUAAAAUGUCAUAAACAAUACCAGUCCUGACGGUUCUAAAACGUCAUGAACAUAAGUAUAUUUGACGUUUAUAAAACGUCAACGUUCACUAUUCUUGACGUUUAAUCAACCGUCAAGAACUUUGCCUUUCUUGACGCUGGCUUCAACGACGUUUUUAAAACCGUCAAGAGAGCCGUCUCUUGAAGUUUAAAAACGUCAAGAGAGCCUGUUUUUGUAGUAGUGUUAUUUUGCCAUUUUCGCAAGUGUCCCUUAAUUGUAAUACAUGUAUAUGUGACAUAAUCUAAUCAAACUAACCAUAAAUGGACUUAAUGUAUCAGGUAUUAGGUGUAUCAGACGUGUAUAAGGUGUAUCAAAUGUACAUCAAUAACGAGGGCAUUUGUGACAUUUUACCUCUUGAUGUGUGAGCUGGUCUUUGUUUUUGUCACUUUCUCAAAUAAUAAAGUAUGUGUUCUAUGGACUUAAUUAUUAUAACUUAUUUUGCCAUUUUCGCAAGUGUCCCUUAAUUGUAAUACAUGUAUAUGUGACAUAAUCUAAUCAAACUAACUCAUAAAUGGACUUAAUCGAUCUCAUGGACCACGAAUUCUUCAAUUACUUGCAAAUUUGGUGAGUUCCUUCAAACAGUGGGCGAAGAGCUUAAUUUUGAGAGAGAGGAAAAGUCGUGAAGAGUAUAUGCGAGAGAGGGGGAACGUGCCAGAGAGCAUUUGCGAGAGAGCUAAAGACAGCGACGAUGUGGGAUGAAGUAAGGUUUUUUUCGGUCGUUGUUCACAGUGGGAUGAAAGCUUCGAAUUAUUUGUUUUAAAUCAAAAGGCGUAAUGAUUGAAGGAAAACAUUUAUUUUUUAUUAGGGUAAUUUUUAAUGACACAUAAUUUAUGUCAUUAAUUAACAAUGCGAAAAUUUUGUCAAGAAAACUCAAUUUGUGUCACGAAAAAUUUUGUAUUUUUAUUUUUAACGACACAUUUUAUUCCCUCAUGUCCCUUUUUCUUGAUUUCAAGUGUCAUUAAAACUUAUUGUUGAAUAAGAAAUUUUGAGACCAAUCACAAGUUGCCACAUCAUUUAUUAAGUUAAUGAUGAAAAGUACAAAUAAUUAAAUUUGGGACUAAUUAAAAUUGACAUAUGCUCCAAAUUAAAGAGUUGAAAAUAAAUAAAAUGGUCAUUCUAAUAAUGCCACAUGUUUUCAUAUUAAUAGUUGGAUUAAGUUAAUCAUUUUAGUUCAAUUAAAUAUUAUUUACUUGGACUAAGUUCAAUUAAGCCCAAAAAAUAAGCUUAAUUGAGCCCAAAGACUAAAUAUAACCUAAGUCCAUAUGGUUGAGCCCAUGCGUCUGGUCCAUGGACCAACUAGGUUCAAACCCAUAAAGCCCACCAGUGAACUCUAUAAAUAGAGGAAUUCUCCUCAUUUGUAGGGGUUGGAAAAUAUUGACUCUAGAAGAUCCAGAGAGAAUUCUUCAAAGAGCUAGAAGACUCCCUAACUCCUGAAGUUGACCAUCCUCGAAGAUUGAAGCUUCUUUAAAGAUACAAGCUUUCUUCCAAGGCUUCAACUUCAAGAACAUCACGUGCUUCGCUUCCUCCAAAUCAAGCUGAAGCAUCCAGUUGAGAGAGAAUCAGAGGAUCAAAUUCUAGAGAUUGAACCGCAUCGCAUCAAAUCAACAAAAAUACAACAUCAACUCAAGUUCAAGUCCACGAAUUAAAUUUCUCCAGAAAUCUCGUGCGAACAAAUUGGCACGCCCAGUGGGACCAUCUCUACCUCUCAUCUCUCUCUCAUCAUCUAGAUCUACAAGCAAAUCAAUGGCAUCAAAGAAAGUUGCAUCCAAAUCUUCAGCUGCAAGCGACACCUACACGGGACCUAUCACCUGUAGUCGUUCCAAGGGGAUCAUCCAAGGGCAAGACCAAGGUUCCGCCAUCGCGCAGAGCAUCCUGAAGCAAUUAAUGGAAUCUCCUAAAGCUGGAAUUGUCAUCAAGGAAAAUCCUCUAUAUAAUGAUUAUGAUUCUGCCUCUAGCAGGUCACUGAAAGAAGCACACCCAGAUGUGAUGUCCGUCAUGAUGGCUGAUGUAGCAGUCGAGACUGCCAUGGCGGAGAUGGAGAGAAAAUUAAUCUCCUGAUGAAGGUUGUUGAUGAACGAGACCACGAAAUUACAGCUUUAAAGGAGCAGAUGCAGACUCGUGAAACUCUGAAUCGAGUCAAACUUGUCGUUAAAGUUGAUGACAAAGGGAAGAACGUGGUACAAGAAAAUCAGCCACAACAACAAUCAACUUCUGUGGCUUCUCUCUCGGUUCAACAAUACAAGAUAUGAUCACAAACUCCAUCAGAGCACAAUAUGGAGGCCCAUCUCAGACUUCUUUCAUGUACUCUAAACCAUACACCAAAAGAAUCGACAACUUGAGAAUGCCGCUUGGAUAUCAGCCUCCAAAAUUCCAGCAGUUUGACGGAAAGGCAAUCCAAAACAGCACGUUGCUCACUUCGUCGAAACAUGUGAGAAUGCAGGAUCAAGAGGAGAUCAACUAGUCAGACAAUUUGUUCGAAGCUUGAAAGGAAAUGCUUUUGAAUGGUAUACUGAUCUGGAGCCAGAAAGCAUUGAGAGUUGGGAACAACUAGAAAAGGAGUUUCUCAAUCGCUUCUACAGCACCAGGCGUACUGUAAGCAUGAUGGAGCUUACAAAUACGAAACAAAGAAAGGGAGAACCAGUCAUCGACUACAUCAAUAGAUGGAGAGCUCUAAGUCUUGACUGUAAAGAUCGGCUCACCGAACUGUCGGCUGUAGAAAUGUGCACCCAAGGCAUGCACUGGGGACUCCUCUACAUUUUGCAGGGAAUAAAGCCCCGCACAUUUGAAGAACUGGCAACUCGAGCUCAUGAUAUGGAGUUGAGCAUCGCCAGUAGAGGAACUAAAGAUUUUCUUGUUCCUGAAGUAAAGAAAGAUAAGAAAGAGAUGAAAGGUGCUGAAAAGAUAGUGAAAAGCACCGCGAAAGAAUCUAUGGUCGUAAACACAACCCCGCUGAAAUUCUCCAAAGGAAAGGAAGCGAGGGUUGAAAAGAAGGAUGAUGGAAGCGAAAGGCGACGUCUGACUUUAAAAGAAAGGCAGGAAAAAGUUUACCCAUUUCCUGAUUCAGAUAUCGCUGACAUGCUAGAGCAACUACUAGAGAAGCAGCUGAUCCAGCUGCCAGAAUGUAAACGACCUGAGCAAGCAGGAAAGGUAGAUGAUCCCAAUUACUGCAAGUAUCAUCGGGUCAUCAGUCAUCCAGUAGAGAAAUGCUUCGUGCUGAAGGAGCUAAUUCUAAGGUUGGCUCGUGAGAAAAGGAUUGAGCUAGAUUUGGAGGAAGUAGCUCAAACAAACCACGCUGAAGUGACGAUAAUGUCUGAGGCUUCUUCGUCGAGAUUGAUUUUUGAGCAAAGGAAAAGCUUGGUCCAGUUCGGGACCUUUGAGCCUAUAGUUGUCCAAUUCUUUCAGGAAAUCUCAUACGAGGAUCCUCAAGGAGAGAAAAGACCAAUCGAAGAAGACGAUGAAGGGUGGAUAGUGGUGACCCACCGAAAGAAAAGACAGUCGAUCCCGACCCAAAGAGAGUCUCGCUCUUACCAAAACUAUAGAAGAGGAAAUAAGACUCAAAAGAAUAAGAAAAAGAAGAAGACUCAUAAGCUUAAGCUCGUACAUAAUGAAGACAUGAAUUUCUCUCGACCUCAACGCUUAGUGACCUUGCAGACUUCCUUCCAAAAAGCUUCCUUUGUGAUCAUCAGGAUGAAGACCCAGAAGUCGUUGCGUGUCAUGCUAUCAACACAACGGAGGAAGAAAUAAUCCCUCCAAGAUCACUAGAAGGAGAGGGAGUAUCAAAAGACCUUUCAAGGUUUAAUGUAGAGGAUCUAUUAUCACUUCCUCAAGAGACCAAAACCAUCCUUAUUGAUGCAUUGCUAAAUUCAAGAGCAUCAAGUUCGAGUACUCCGACUAUGACAUAUGAGAGUGGUUCUUAUUGUAUGUCUAUAGACUUCUCAGAUGAGGAUUUGUUGUUGGGAUCUAAACUUCAUAAUAGACCUUUGUAUGUUUCUGGAUACGUUCGAGAACAGAGAGUCGAUCGAAUCCUCAUUGAUAAUGGCUCAGCUGUCAACAUAAUGCCAAAGUCGACUAUGUGGCAAUUAGGCAUCUUGAUGGACGAGCUCUCAAAUAGCAAGCUAGUAAUUCAAGGUUUUAACCAAGGUAGCCAAAGAGCAAUAGGCAUGAUACGGUUAGAACUCAUAAUUGGCGACCUAAAGGCCAGUGCAUUGUUUCAUGUCAUAGACUCAAGGACUACUUACAAGUUGUUACUAGGGCGUCCUUGGAUUCAUGGAAACGGAGUAGUAACUUCAACACUGCAUCAGUGCUUCAAAUUUUAUCAGGACGGUGUAAAGAAGGUUGAAGCCGACUCUAAUCCAUUCUCAGAAGCUGAGUCUCACUUCGCAGAUGCAAAGUUUUAUUCAAAGAAUAAUAAUAUUUUAGAAGUUUUGCCUGCAGAAACCCCUCUUACAAAAGGAGAAGAUAAUUCACAACUGAAAUCACUCGCAACCACAGAACCACAUGAAAGUGCGAGAACCUUUAACUCUGGAAAGGGUGAAGCAUACACUAGCAGCACAAAGGGUAUGAUCUUGAAGGAUGAAAAUGCUGCAAACACACCAGUUUUGCGUUAUGUCCCUCUGUCAAGGCGCAAGAAAGGCGAAUCACCAUUCAUGGAGUCUCCAAAAGGUUUGAAAGUUGGUGACAUCGAAAUCAUAAAAGAAAGCUUCACUACACCACUAACUAAGAUAGCGAAGCAGGAGGUAAAGGUAGAUCUGGUGGAAGCAAACUUGCCCCAAAGGCGAACGAAAGACGGAUUCGACCCCAAGGCUUACAAAUUGAUGGCGAAAGCAGGUUAUGACUUCACAGCUCACACCGAGUUUAAAAGCUUGGAAAUUCAUGACCGACCUGAGCUCUCCUCAACUCAAAAGAAGCUUCUACGGAAGGACAUUCUAUACCCGUGUCGAGAAAAGGACUCGGAUACAAGUCGCCAGAACCGAUCCGUAUAACUAAAAAGGGAAGGAAAAAGUGGUUGACAUCAAUCAUAUAACUAUAGAGGAUGACAAUACUGACGUAAAAGAAGGUGAUAAUCAGAGAAUCUCAGUAUUUGAUCGAAUUAGACCAUCUGUUGCACGUCCCGUAGUAUUUGAAAGGCUAAGCAUGACAGAGGCAGAAAGAGAAAGGCUCCAGUCAGUACCAAACCUUGAGAGACAUUCGGUCUUUCGAAGGCUAACUACGACUCCCAUAAAGGAAGAAAGCACAUGCCAUGCCUUGACAACUACAAGACCAUCAGCCUUUGAAAGGCUAGGUGUGUCUAAAAAAAAAAUGUACAAGCACCCCGUGCUCCGAUUUUUAAUCAUCUCGGGGAUAAAGGAUCACACGACAACAUUGAUUCCAACAUAGCAAAGAAGAAGGAACCAAUGUCUCGUGUGAAAGUUUGGCGUCGAAUUAAGCAUACAGAUGUCGAUAAUUAUCGUAGUAAGAAGUUUCCUUGCGAGACAAAGGAAAAUGGAGAAAUUCAUAGCAACGUUCCUUCUCGCAUGAAAAGAAAAACUUUUGUUACUCUCAAUACAAGUCAAGGUUCGUUAAAGGUAAAAAGACAUGAUGUUAUACUAACGAAUCCUGAAAAAGAAGGGUCGGAACAAGGGGAAGGUGAAACUUCAUGUCAUCACAUCACCAUUAUUGAGGAAUCAGAGACUGGAACUCAUGAAGAAGACGCAGAAAAUGCCCCACAAAGUUUAGAGGAUGGUGGUCAAUCUACUGUAGACGAGCUAAAAGAGGUGAACCUUGGUACAAUAGAGGAACCACGUCCGACUUUCAUUAGUGCGUCCCUCUCUAACGAAGAGGUGGAUAAAUAUAUGAGUUUGCUCACCGAAUACAGGGACAUCUUUGCGUGGUCGUACAAGGAGAUGCCAGGACUUGACCCAAAAGUAGCAGUCCAUCAUCUUGCAAUUAAACCGGAUAUCGACCGAUUAAACAAGCACAACGACGUUUUCGACCGGAGCUUAUCCCUCAAAUCGAGGUGGAAGUCAACAAGUUGAUCGAAGCAGGAUUCAUUCGCGAGGUCAAAUAUCCAACGUGGAUAGCAAACAUUGUCCCUGUUAGAAAAAAAAAUGGACAACUUCGCGUUUGUGUAGACUUUCGCGAUCUGAAUAAUGCAUGCCCUAAAGAUGAUUUUCCCUUGCCCAUCACCGAAAUCAUGGUUGAUGCAACUACUGGACACGAGGCGUUGUCGUUUAUGGAUGGGUCGUCUGGAUAUAAUCAAAUACGGAUGGCCCUCUCAGAUGAAGAAAUGACAGCUUUCAGAACUCCAAAGGGAAUAUACUGUUACAAGGUGAUGCCCUUUGGAUUGAAAAAUGCCGCGCUACUUAUCAACGUGCCAUGCAGAAAGUGUUUGAUGAUAUGUUGCACAGGUAUGUUGAAUGUUAUGUUGAUGAUCUUGUAGUCAAAACAAAGAGACGACAAGACCAUUUGAAGGAUCUAAAAGUCGUGUUUGAUCGCUUGCGAAAAUAUCAGCUAAGGAUGAACCCUCUCAAGUGUGCGUUUGGUGUAACUUCAGGAAAAUUUCUUGGCUUCAUUGUAAGGCAUCGAGGGAUCGAAAAUAGACCAGUCCAAGAUUGAUGCCAUUCAGAAGAUGUCAAGACCUAAAAGUUUGCAUGACCUAAGAAGUCUCCAAGGACGACUGGCUUACAUCCGAAGGUUCAUCUCUAACUUGGCCGGUCGGUGUCAACCUUUUCAAAAGUUGAUGAGAAAAGGAGAAAAUUUUGUGUGGGAUGAAGCUUGUCAGAACGCUUUUGAUAGCAUAAAGAAAUACUUGCUUACUCCCCCAGUGCUGGGAGCUCCAGUACCUGACAAACCACUAAUAUUGUACAUUGCUGCACAAGAAAGGUCCUUAGGAGCAUUACUGGCACAAGAAGAGGUAAAGGGAAAGGAGCGUUCUCUCUACUAUCUAAGCAGAACAUUAAUUGGGGCUGAAGUUAACUAUUCUCCUAUCGAAAAGAUGUGUCUUGCACUUUUCUUUGCCAUUGAUAAGUUGAGGCAUUAUAUGCAGGCCUUCACGGUUCAUCUAGUGGCAAAAGCAGACCCUAUAAAGUAUGUUCUAUCCAGGCCAAUCAUCGCUGGACGCUUAGCCAAAUGGGCGGUUCUACUCCAACAAUAUGACAUUGUCUAUAUUCCCCAAAAGGCGAUAAAAGGACAAGCGCUAGCAGACUUUUUAGCAGACCACCCAAUUCCUUCGGAUUGGAAGUUAUGUGAUGACCUACCAGACGAUGAGGUUUUCUUCACAGAAGUUAUGGAACCUUGGACUAUGUACUUCGAUGGUGCAGCUCGAAGAAGUGGUGCGGGGGCAGGCAUUGUCCUCAUUUCUCCUGAGAAGCAUAUGUUGCCUUAUAGCUUUGCACUUUCCGAAUUGUGUUCAAACAAUGUGGCUGAAUAUCAGGCUUUGAUAAUUGGCCUUCAAAUAGCAUUAGAAAUCGGAGUGUCAUUCAUAGAGGUCUAUGGUGAUUCAAAAUUGAUAAUCAAUCAACUCUCGCUUCAAUAUGACGUGAAACAUGAAGACUUGAAGCCAUAUUUUGCUUAUGCUCGACAAUUGAUGGAAAAGUUUGAUAAUGUGAUGUUAGAACAUGUCCCUAGAGUAGAAAAUAAGAGAGCGGAUGCAUUGGCAAAUUUAGCCACGGCCUUGACCAUGCCAGAUGAUGUAACUCUGAACAUACCACUUUGUCAACGAUGGAUUAUACCCCCAGUUAGGCCUGAAUGUCAGGAAGUGAACAUGGCAACAUCCUAUUUGAUUGAUGAAGAAGAUUGGCGUCAACCCAUCAUAGAGUAUCUUGAACAUGGAAAGCUUCCAAAGGAUUCUCGUCAUAAAAUUGAGAUACGAAGAAGGGCAGCACACUUCAUUUAUUACAAGGGAACUUUAUAUCGCCGUUUUCUUGAAGGGCUCUUCCUUCGAUGUCUCGGAAAGGAAGAUUCGGUAAAAGCUCUAAAGGAAGUACAUGCAGGUGUUUGUGGAGCACAUCAAUCGGGACCAAAGCUUCAAUUCCAGCUAAGAAGAAUGGGCUACUACUGGCCUAAGAUGAUCCAAGAUUCAAUAGACUAUGUGAAGAAGUGUGAGCCUUGUCAAUACCAUGCAAACUUCAUACACCAACCUCCAGAACCUCUUCAUCCAACUGUGGCUUCUUGGCCUUUUGAGGCUUGGGGACUCGAUCUGGUUGGCCCCAUUACACCAAAAUCAUCAGCAGGACAUUCUUAUAUCCUAGCAGCAACAGACUAUUUUUCAAGGUGGGCUGAGGCCAUUUCAUUGAGAGAAGCCAAGAAGGAGAACGUGGCAGACUUUAUUCGAACACACAUCAUCUAUCGAUACGGUAUUCCACAUCGAAUCGUGACGGAUAAUGGAAAGCAAUUCUCCAAUAGUAUGAUGGACAAGUUAUGUGAAAAAUUCAAAUUCAAGCAAUAUAAGUCAUCCAUGUACAACGCAGCUGCGAAUGGACUAGCAGAAGCAUUCAACAAAACAUUGUGUAAUCUUUUAAAGAAAAUUGUCUCCAAGUCAAAGAGGGAUUGGCAAGAAAAGAUCGGCGAGGCAUUAUGGGCUUAUCGGACGACUCAUCGCACCCCUACAGGGGUUACACCAUAUUCGCUUAUUUACGGUGUGGAGGCUGUCCUUCCUCUCGAAAGGGAAAUUCCGUCACUAAGAAUGGCAGUACAAGAGGGAUUGACUACCGAAGAUAAUGUGAAGUUACGUCUUCAAGAAUUAGAAGCACUUGACGAAAAGCGAUUAGAGGCUCAGCAAGCAUUGGAAUGUUAUCAAGCGAGAAUGUCCAAAGCUUUUGAUAAACACGUUAAACCUCGCUCCUUUCAAGUCGGUGAUCUAGUACUUGCCGUAAGGAGACCGAUCAUCACAACAAGGCAUACAGGAAAUAAGUUCACACCUAAAUGGGAUGGACCUUACAUUGUUAAAGAAGUUUAUACAAAUGGCGCAUACAAGAUCGUUGAUCAAGACGGACUACGAAUUGGCCCAAUCAAUGGUAAAUUUCUUAAAAAAUUUAUGCUUAAUUUUGUUAGGUAAAAAAAAAAAAAAAAAAGUUGAACUACGUUAUGACUUGAUCCCUAUAUUAUAAAGGGUACGUAGGCAGCUUAAGGAAAACCUUAAGCCCAGUCCAGCAAAAAAAAAGUUGAACUACGUUAUGACUUGAUCCCUAUAUUAUAAAGGGUACGUAGGCAGCUUAAAGAAAACCUUAAGCCCAGUCCAGCAAAAAAAAAAAGUUGAACUAUGUUAUGACUUGAUCCCUAUAUUAUAAAAGGCAGCUUAAAGGAAACUUUAAGUUCAGUCCAAUAAAAAAAAAAGGAAGAAAGACAAAUUACAUUUAAUAGAAAAUAUGAUGAGGAGUGGAACAAUGAAAGAAUAAUUUUUUUUUUAUUAUUAUUAUAAACUUCUAGCAAAAAAAAAUUAAAAAGGCAUAAGUAGAUAAAUAAGAGAAAGCAGAGAAUCAUGGAGUCCAUUUAAAGUUCUUCAGCUCCUCUAGUGUGCUUUCUAAAGAUUCACGAAGUGUUGAUAGCAUUUUAGCAUCAAUAUCUCCAACGAUCGGGGCACAUUCGAGUUUGUCAAUUUCCUCACAAGUCUUCGAAAUCUCAUGUUGCUUCUGCUUCAGCUCCAGGUCGUUCUUAAAAAUUAUUCCAGAAAGUUUAGCAGACUCAACCCGCACCAUCUUUAGUUUUGCCUCUAGUUUAGCCUCCUUAGCGGACAGUCGUGUAAGACGACGUUUAGCAGUGUUGGUCUCUGCUAAUAUACGAUUCUCAUCAACUCGCAGAGUCUUCACAAAACCUUUUGCCUCCGUUAGCUGAACAUCCUUAGUUGAUUGGAGUGGAAAUGAGGAAUGUAUUUGAUUAUGGUUCUCGACACCUUGGAAGUAACCAUUCACAAGCUCCCUCAAAACAAUAAGGUUGUCGCUGCCGUUAGUCGCAAUCGCAUCAAAGAUCUUAUGCAUUUCUGGUUCAAGACUACUCAGUCGUUCAAAAGGGGUACGAAUGAUCUUCUGUCGUAGGUUUUCCCAUAAGGUUAUGGCAGCCUGUCGUCGGAGGUCAGAAAUUAAGCUGUCAGCACAAAAAUGAGAAAUCUCAGAAACUGUAAUAGGCUCUGUGCCUUCCACUUUUUGAGGAGGUCCCUUGAUCACAGGAGGACAAGCAGACACAAUAUUUGCGCCUAUAGGUUCCUUAGAGUUCCCAUUAUAAGAAAGUACAACGUUACAGUCUUCUAGAUUCAGCAUCAACUCUAGGGUAUCUUCGAUGUGUAGGUCAUGAUCACCUAAAGAAUACUACAAAAUAAUAUUAACAACAAGAAAUAAGGGGAGUAAAGGAGAGAAAAUACAAUCAAUAAAUAAAUAAAAUUGGGAGACGA